rnacentral:lncRNA from 1 species
GAAAUAUGCUUUUGGAAAGAUGUUGAUUAUUGGAAACGAGCCUCCAUUCAAGGUCAAGGGUUUGUGGCUUUUCCGUGGGACUGAAAUCCCAAAAUUUGUGAUGGAUGAGUGUUAUGACAUGGAGCUUUACGAGUGGACCAAGGUUGACCUCUCUGACGAGGCACAAAAGGAGCGAGUGAAUCAGAUGAUUGAAGAUUUUGAGCCUUUUGAAGGUGAAACUCUCUUGGAUGCCAAGUGCUUCAAAUGAAGGGAAAUUGGAAAAUGCUCUGAUACCUAUCAUGAAUAAAUAUAAUACAGUGAUCUGCGAAGUUCAACAUGCUAAUUGUACUCCAUACAGAAUGCCCGAUGUGGCCGAAAAGCAAGUAGCAACCCUUUGAACGCUAUGCAGUCCAAGUAAGAAAGCAAAAUGUGAAUAAAAAACUAUUGUAGUCCAAAAAUACUAAUGUUACCAUGUGUAAAACAUGUGAAAUAUUUGAAAUCUCAUGUUGAAGCUGGAAAAUAAGAUUUUCUGUUGAACAUGUUAUAUACUUAAAUGUGGAAACGAUUGAGUUGUAGGCGAUGGAGAUGAGGACUGAAGUUGGUUUCUUUUUCUUCUAUAUGCUCAUCCAAAAAUUGAUGAUUGAUGUUGGUCUGAGAAGAUGGAGAUUGGAGACUCAUCGCCUCAUCGGAGAUGAUUAGACCUUAAUAGCCGAUCAAAAUGAUAAUUUUUAAAUAUCAAAGUCAGUUUAAUGGUAAAUUAACUGUAACUGCCGAUCAAUUUGAUUUUUUACUAUACUUUAAAGACAUGAAAAGAUUUCUUUUAGUUAGAAAUUAAUAUGUUACAUUAAAUUAUUUUUAUAUAAAUAUAUAUUUGAUUUAUAGUUUAUAUUGUUAUACUAAACUGCUAACUCUUACAAUAUAAAACAAAAUAAACUAAAUAUUUAAGCUAUCUAUUGAUAGUUAUUGAAUAUUUACUCAUUAUAAAUGAUUAUAAUAAUUAUUAAAAAUAUAAAAUAAUUGUUGUGUGGAGACCACUUUCAAAAGAAUAUAAAUAUUACAUUGAUGUAUAAAGUAAUUGCAAAAGGUAAUGUAACCGGUGGCAGAUCUAUAUGAAUGUAGGGAUGAGCAUACGAUCUGUGAGGUUGGACCGGACCGGAAAAAAAUCGGGACCUGAUCCGGACCGAACUAGAUUAUCAUAUUAAUAGGCCAGUUUUCGGGUUUGGUUUUUCUCAAUAAUCGGGUUUCGGGUUUGGACUGGACCGUACCCGAAUUAAAGGAUUUAAAUCGGACUUGACCGGAAAACCAAAUUUUUUUUUUAUUUUAUUGACAAACAGUAAGCAAAAAUUACUAAAAAAAAAUGUUGUCCGAUUGAAUUGAUUCGGACUCUCCUAUGGAUUACAUUAUAGUGUCAUUUUUUUUUUGUUUCGGCCUCUUCUCUUUGAUCGUAUUAUGGUGUCGAAUUUUUUUCUCGAAAAACCAAAAGUUAUUUCCUAUUAUAUUUUUUUAAAUAAAAAUAGUGAAGUUUUAAAAAAAAAUAACGCGGUAUUUUUUAAAAAAAGUAAUGUUAAGUGCAAAUUUUUUUUUAUAAAAAUAGUGCAUUUUUUAUAUAAAAAUAGUGAUGUUAAGUGCAAACUUUUUUAUAUAAAAAUAGUGUUGUUUUUUUUUUAUAAAAAUAAUGUAACUUUUUAAUAUCGUCUGUAUUUGGUAAAUACACCUCAUUUGCACGUAUUCUAAUUAAAGUCUUACGUCGUACCAUUGUAUUCAUCUUCUUUUAUGUAUUUUUUUAGUCGAAUUGUGCAAAUAACAAAGAUAAGAAUGAUAGAUGUUACAUAAUAAGAUUAUAAUUUGAAAUACUAUGCUAGAGAGUAACAUGACAAACAAAAUUUGAAACCGUAAACAACAAACAUACGAAACCUAGUUUGGUACAGGAUUGGACCGAAACCGUAAAUAACACUACCAAAGUCUAAUUCGGUCCAAAACCCGAACCUGAUUUAGUACCCGGAACCAAACCGGACCAAACCCGGACCCACUACACCCAAAAACGGUUCGGUUUUUGGGUAAGGUAAUUCAUGAUUUUUGGUCUUCGGGCCGGUCUGUUCCGGGUUCGGCCAGUUGCUCAUCCCUAUAUAAAUGAAUGGGGUAAAAUGGUCAAAAUCAUUAGGUUGGACGAAACUAGUGGCAAAUUUAGAAAACCAUAUGGUUCCAUAAACGGGUUCAAUUGAGGCGGUUCAAAAGAAAAUUGGGUUCAACCGAACUAGUUCAAGAAAAAAUCAGGUUCAAAAAGUCGGUUCAACCGGAAUAUAACUGGUUCACCAUGCAUAAAAAGAGAAAUUGUCAUAAAAGUCCCAAUAUUUUUUGAAAAGUGUCACUUUAAUCCCCAAAAAAAAUUGAACAGAAAAGUCACGAUUAUUUCAUUUUACACGAUAAUAUGUCAUUUUCUGUUACAAGAAAAAAGGAAUUUUUUGGCUAAUUUGAGUCAAAAUGAAAUAAUCGGGAAUUUUCUGCUCAAAUAAAAAAAAUUGGGAUUAAAAGAAACUUUUCUGAAAAUAUUAGGACUUUUCUGACAAUUUCCUUACAUAAAAACUAUGUUUUGUAUUAACGAUCAUUUCAUAUUAGAAUGAAACACAUCACAUUAUAGAAUUAAACACAUAUGCUUGAUAUGUCUCUUAAGCCAACUACAAGUAUGAUAACUAAAUAUAAUUAAUACAAGGACCUUAGUUGUUUUAUAAAUACUUAAAUAAUAAAUUAAGUAAAAUCAUUGUUAAACCAUCGUUCCAAUUAAUAUAUUUAAUUUUUUUGUACCGACAAAUCUAAUCUACGUCUAACCUAACACACCUAACUUCAUUUAUGUCUACAACAGGACUUGAACCCUCGACCUUAAAGAUGAAGAAUAACACAUGAUAUUGCGGGCUAAAAGCCCUUUGGUAAUUAAUAUGUUUAAUUAAUAUUAUUGCUUUUAUAGAUUGGUAAUUAUCAGAAAUCCUAAUUAACUUAUAUAAGUUAUAUAAGAAAUCCUAAUUAACUUGUAUUAGGCUAACUAAUUGCCAUACAAUAGUAAAAGUAAACCUAAUUCUUAAAAUAUUAUCAUCUAAUGAUCAAUUUAUCUACCACUUGCCUUGUUUUUUUUCUUUGUUUAGUUGUUGGUUAAGCCUAAUCAUUGAGGGCCUCACAUGUUAUCUUUUAAGUUUAGCCAAUUGUUACUAAUGGAAAUGAAGAUUGAUAUUGUUAUAUAUAGUCAUAUAUUUUGUGCAAUAUGUACGUACAUUUAGCUAUAUUUUAGUCAUUUAUAAAGAUAUUUGGUACUUAUUUCACUUAAAAUCUAUUUUAUAGCAAAAAUAGACAUUCUCAAGAAAAAGGAGUAAAUUUGAUAAGUUGUAGACUUGGAAACUUGAAGCAUUCAUAAAGAAGAAGAAAUCGUGCAAAAAAGUGGUUGCCACAUCGUUGUCAACAUCUUGCCACGACAUGGUGAUGUGUCAAACUUAGAACAUUCCCCGGGUGUUUGUAUGAAAAGCGUGGAGACUACCUAAAGUAUUUGUCCACCAUGACAUGGUGAGACUUGUGUCACAACCUGGUAUUGGGUUUUUGAAAACUUAUAUAUUCGGAUAUCAGGUCAAAUUUGGAGGGAGCAGUUGUAGUGUGUUGCGCUUACCUACAACUUUAGACGGCCAAAACCCUAAGAAGGGAAGAUAGUGAUUGAAGAACAAGUAUUGAAGAGAUCUAGAUACGGAGAACAUGAUAAUCAUUCAGUUUGCUUACCUAAACAUGUUUAGUGAAGUUCUUAUUGAUUUUAGAUGUUUUUCUGACUUAGUUAUGGGUUAAUAACCAUACACUUUCGUUUAGCAUAGAUAAACCUACUAUGCGUUAAUUUCAAUUAUUUGGAUUUAAUAUGUUAAAGUCCUUAUUAUUAUCACUUAUAUGCAAGUUACGUGUAGUUAGAUGACCAUUCAAAUUGCAUGAACUUUAUAUUUAGUUAUUUUAUGAUUAUUGAAUAGUUAGAUUUAGUAAUUGAACAAAUCCUAGGGUUAGGUGGUAAUAACUAGUAACAUGUAAAUUUGAUUGUGUUAGAGAGGAAUAACUAUCCAUGUUAUGUGCUUGAUUGAUUAUCUUGAUCAUAGAUAAGAAAUCACUAGAUCUUGGCAUUCAUAGUCCGAAAAUAUUACAACCAAUUUAGUGUUCACUUGUUACAUGAUCAUUAUAAGUGUCGUUCAUGAGUUGUUAAAACGCUAAGAACCCAAACAAGAUGGCCAAUAGCUUUAGAAAUCGGUAACCAACUAAAUAAUCCACUACAUAAAAAAUCAACCAUAGAAUAAAGGUGAUUCGAAGCUUAACGAAAGUGCUAUUUUAUCUUGAUUUGAAAUCGUAUUCGUUUUGUUUGCUUUAGUCCAAGUAAUUGUUAGUUAAUUUGCUUUUGAAUUAAUGAUUUAAGUUGUCAAACAUGUAAAAUCAGUAAAACCCCCAAUUUACAGUAUUUCUUUUAGUUUACUUAUUAUCAUUUGAUUUUCAUUGAAAUCAUACUCGUUCCCUAUGAGUUCGACAUUAUUUCUUACCUACAGUAUAUUAUUAUGCGACUAGGUACACCACAUAUUGUAUUUUAACUAGUUGAGUUUGAUAUGAUUUAAAAAUAUUAAAACUAGUGCAUAUAAAAUAACUCAUCAAAGGUUCUCAAAAUCCAUUGGGGGCAUGUGACCCUAUUCUUAGAAGGGUGGAGUCGCCCAUGAAUCUAACAUAGUUGAAAGAUUAAUGACAUUGCAGUAAUAUUAAUUGUCUAUGUAAACAAUCAUCGUAAUCAUAAUAAGCUUGUUUUUCUCUAAAAUAGUCAAUGAGCUAUGUGGAUCUCAAAUAAUCUUCAAAAUCUUUUUUUUGCUUCCUCUAUCCAGCUCGAACAAGUUCAAAUGGUGUAAUGCUCUAAAGUGUAAGUGUGUCACUUAUGGUCCCUAACUCUUGAGCUUCAUGCUAAUGACACUAUUCAACAUCUAAAAGUACUAGCAGGUUAUACCAUUUCACUAGGAAUCCAAGAAAUCAAGUUCUAGAUCUUUUGAUCCCAAUAUUGGUAAAAUAUUAAUCAAACCUCAAGUUUUACAAAAUUUAUAGUUUUAGUGCGUUACAUUUUCCCAAAAGGACAAUAAUUGACAUGUCCAACUUCUAAGUAUCAAUGUGUUAAGAUUAUGUCAUAUUUAAAUCAAGGGUAAAUUACACCAGUCGUCCCUUGUGCAUAUGUCAGAAAGCGUGUUUAGUCCCUAUUUUUAAAAAUUAACUCGGACCGUCCCUCGUUUGCAUAAACCUUGCACACUUCGUCCCUGAUAUGCAUUUUUGUUGCGAAUGUAGUCCCUGCCAGAUCUAAAAUGACCAUAAUGCCCUUGUUGUAUUUCGUUUCCAUUUAAUUUAAUGUUAUUAUUAUUAUUUUUAAUUUUUUUUAAAUGUAAACAUAUCAUUCCUACCAACCCCACCCCAUUUGUCCCUUCCCAAAUCUCCAUCUACCUCACACGAAUCCACUCCCCUGAAAGUAAAAAUCUAGCCACCGGUCCACCACCUUGCACCACCACCGGAAAAUAGAGCAGCACCACCGGAAAAUGGAAAACCAUUGAAAAUCUUCACCUCGUUUCUUUGCUUAUGUCUCAUACACAUGGAUCUACCUCACUAUAACUUCACCGAAAAGAACCCAAAAUUCUAGUCAAUCGUAAACCCUAAUCCUAAAUUCGCAUUAAAUUUAUUAGCUUUAACGAAACCAGUUCAAUCUUUUACCUGGCCAAUAGAGAAAAUUAAGAUCACUCCGAUCAAAUCUGAUUCCAUGACCGGGGAUCUUAUUAUUGAUCUUGAGAUAAAUUGAUUCAUCACUCUGGACACGAAGCACGAGCUCAUUUUUAGCCUUCUCCAAAUCCAUUUCAAAGUUUUGUUUGUAAAGAUAACCAUGAACACGUCAAUUGAAGCGUUAUGAAGGAGGAGACACAUCUGGUGACCGAUUGGAGGGAGAAGAAGAACAUGGGUUGUAACACAAAGCCUUGCCAACGUAUUUUCUUGCCACUUCAUCCACCACAUUAUCAACCUUGAUUUACAACAGAUAUACAUACGAUGAGGGAACGAUAUAUGAGCUUGAAAGUGGGGGCAGAAGACGAGGACUUCUAUGCUGCCAUCGUCGGACAAAGGAGGAAGAAAUAAUGUGGUCUCGCCGGAGAGUUACGUUUUGGGUGCUUGUCGGUAAUGGUAAGAACGAGGGAGACGAAAGAAACUGGGGAAAGGGAAAGGGGGAGGGUUUGGUAGAGAUAUAUUUUUCUUUUUUUUAAGUCUAAAAAUGAUUAACGAAUAAAAGAAAAUUAAAAAAAUAAAUUAUUAAGGGCAAACUUGACUUUUCAUGUCUAAAGGGAUGAAGUAUGCAAGUUUUAAACUAACAAGGGACGGUCCGAGUUAAAAUUUGAAAAUAGGGACUAAACACGCUUUCUGACAUAUGCACGAGGGACGAUUGGUGUAAUUUACCCUUAAAUCAAAGUUAACAUACGAGAUUUCCAAACUUGGCAUAAAUAGCCCCUUAAUACUAAAUUUUUGAUAACAACUUGAAACUUUUAGUUUUAUUACUUUUAAUUAUCCAUACUUUAUUUAAUCUAUUAAUAUCAAGUUUAAAUAUAUUUAUUUUAUUUUAUUCUAUAUUUCUAUAUAAAAAAAGUUAAUGUUAAUACUAAAAAACAUAAAAUUUUAGGCCCAAAAUAAGGAUGUUACAAAUUUACAACAUAAAGGAAUAGUUGUUUUCAUUAUAGAAUCUGAAAUGUUCAAGUCUGGAAUCGAGAAUGAUACUCUUGGAAUAUCGUUUUCAUGUAAAAAUGGUUAGUUUACAAAAACACAUAAUGUUCGUCUUUUUUUUCAAACAACAUUGUUCACGAUGGUUAGUUUUGUUAAUAUACAUAUAAAUGAUUAUACUAAUGUUUAAUAUAUUGUUGAAUAAAUAUUGAUUUAGCCUUAUCUUUAUUAAAAAAUAACUAUUGAUUUGUUAGUAUAAACUAGUUUUGGAGGGGUGUAGUACAAAGGGUGUGAAAAGGCGAUAUAAGAUCGGCAUGACGUAGGUGGACAUUUAGUAUCGGUGGGAACAUUGCACCACCUAACCAGUGUUGACCAAGUUGUUCCCCACGACAUGUAUUUUCUUGGAAUGAAAUGGUAUGUCUCUCUUUGGAGACAAGGAAGAUGAAAAAAAAUGAGCAUUUACAUAGUUUAGGGAUAAAUGAAAAGAUAGAGAAAAAACCCAAUGAGUAUAUGACAAUUGGUGUGUAAAAGAGAGGUUGUUAGGAAUGAAUGAGAUCGGAAAGAUGAACCUGUUUUAUGGCAUCUCUAACCCUAUUUUAUAAAUAAAAUAUGACAAAACUGCAAAAAUGGUCCCUGUGGUAUGCAUUUUUUUGGGGUCUUAGUUCAAACCAUGACUUUUUUGGCUUCGUGGUCCUUUUGACCUAGUUUUAUUGUGUUUUUGGUCACUCCUAAUUGUGAAAUGAUUGUAAUACCCUUAGGGUAUUUAUUUUCUAUUUUUAUUUCAUUUCUUUUUAAAUCUAAUACUAUUUUAUUUAUUUUAAUAAUUAAAAAAAUAAGAAUGGGACCCACCUCUCUCUCUCUCUCUUCCUCUCUCCCCCUCUCCACUAAGACUACUCCCAAGCUCCAAGUUCUUCUACUUGAACAAGAUCUGAUGUAACGUCCCAAAAAUACGAGCCAAAAAUUUCAUUUUUAAAACAUGUACUUAGCGAAACAUUAGAAAUAAACGUUCAACAAUUAUAUCAUUUCACAAAAGAUAGUGCAUGUCUGGAAAACAUUUUGAUAAAACAUAAAAGUAUCAGAGUACAAAUCCCCAGGAAGAUCUCAUGAUGCUGAAUACAAGCAUGUGUGUGAUGUACCGCUACCGCGCCAGCUCCUUCCCCUUCGAAGAAGAGGUACCUAAAACCAAAACUGAAAACUGUAAGCACGAAGCUUAGUGAGUUUCCCCCAACAUACCACAUACCAUACAUUCACAUAUCGAGCAUACUGUCGGGCAAUUCUGGGGUGCCCGACCUACCCGGUACGGCCAUUCUGGGGUGCCGACCUACCCGUGUCAAGCCGUUCUGGGGUGCUGACUACCCAUGUCAAGCCAUUCUGGGGUGCUGACUACCCAUCGGUCCUAACAACCGAUCCUCGGGGACUAUUUCACCCCCUACUGCUACUAGCACAUAUAUCAUAACAUAACAUAUUAUCAGACAUAUCUGGGGUGUCCGAUCUACCCUUCGGUCCUAACGACCGAACUUGGGGACUAUUCCCCUCCUACUACCACUAUCACAUAUAACAUAUCAUGCCAACAUAUAAACAUAUCAUCACAUACUGUCAGACAUAUCUGGGGUGUCUGACCUACCCUUCGGUCCUAACAACCGAACUCUACUACUAUCACAUAUACAUAUCAUGCCAGCAUAUAACAUAUCAGGUAGUAGCAAACCUAGAUGAUAUCACAAAGACAAUCAUCUAACAUACAACUCCUACUGGUGGGCCGGCAUUGUGGUCGUAGACCCACCGCUACUGGAAGGUAACUCACCUCAAAGUAGCUGCUGAUCUGCGCGGGAACUGACUGUCUGCUGAUGCUGCUGCCCCAGGAAUCCUCCGGCUAUAAUUCCCACGAAACACUCAGUCAAAUACUGCUAAUCGACCUCAGGGUAAAAUGACCUUUUACCCCUAAUCAAUCAAGAGUCCAAGUCAAAGUCAACUGCCAGUUGACCAGACUCGCUGAGUUGGCUUGCCAACUCGCCGAGUCCCUAUCCCCUUUUCUGACCAUAACCCCAUCUCUACUCGUCGAGUUAGGCAUUGACUCGACGAGUUUUCCUUCUAAACCAAAGUCCAAUAGUCCUUCAUCCUACUCGCCGAGUUGUAUGAACAACUCGCCGAGUUCAUCUUCAUCCGAAGAACACUCUAUGUUGUGACUCGCCGAGUUGUUCUUGAGGCAAGAAGAUUGCCUUGAACUCACCGAGUCAUGGCAUUGACUCACCGAGUUACUUCACGAGUGAGUCUAGCUUCAGACCCACUGAGUCCUAUCCCACGACUCACCACUCCACCCCGAAAACACGAAAAGGGGGAAAACUCAGGGACUCGCGACUCGACUCGCCGAGUCAGAUGAACGACUCACCAAGUCGGCCACAUGCAAAUACUAUACACGUGAUUCUGCUUGAAUCUAGCUCAUGCUAUUCAUAGAUCUGGGUUUCUAGGGCAUGAAUAACACGUAAAGUUUCCAACUUAACGUGUAAAUAAUCACCAAUAAAGGUUUUAGGGCUCAAAAUGCACCAAAAGAGUACAUCUAGGGCUUUCAUGCAAUAUGGAUCCAUAAAGGCAGUAGAUCUAAGCUCCUGGAGCUCAAUCACACCUAGAUCUAGAGGCUAGCAACUGAUUACAAACCAUAAGGCACAAUCAAGCUUGGGGAAAAACUCAAGAAGGACUUCCAUGGAGCUAAAAGGGACUAUAAGCAUGAAAACAAAGGGAAAACGAAUUAUACCUUAAGAAAAACACUGAGAUAGCUCAAGGAUGCCUGGCCUCCUCCUCUUCUUCUUGAUCUACUCUCCUUCCCUCUCCAAAUCUUCAAGAAAACACACCAAAAUGCUUCAAACUCACAAGGAACAAGGCUUGAACGAAGUAUAGAGCUCUGAGGGUGAAGGGAGCGAGCUUGGGGGCAGAUAAGAGGGUUUAAAUAGGGUGCAAACCCUUGAAAUUUAGGGUUUCAUCAGACAGCGGGGACUCGCCGAGUCGCCAACUUAAACGUGUUCCGGAUCCCGACUCUACUCGGCGAGUCGGACCUACAACUCGCCGAGUCCAAGGCUAAAAAUGAAAAACACUAAGAUAAAUUUUACAUACCAGGAACCAGGUGCUACAUCUGAGUUAUGAAUAAUACCUAAUUACUUCCUUAUCAUAACCCAUAAAUAGAUUUUCCACCUUUAACAAAACCUACAAACUAACUUCAUGUUCAAAUUCAACACACACAUGUAAAAAUGAAACCCACAUCAAUGGUGAUGGUGGUGACUUGCGAUGUUUCAGUUUUUCAUCUUCUCCAUCUAUAGAUUUCAGUUCCUAUUUUAACAUCCCCAUAUUAGAUUUCAGUCUAAUUUUAAUUUCGAUUUCAACGAUAAGGAGGUGGUGUAGGGCUCUCAAAAAAAACGAAGGCCCCUGAAUCGAAGACGACAUAUUUUAUUUCUUACCACUACCACAAUUAAUUGACCUUGAAUCGAUCUUAAACUUCCAUCGUUUGUUAAACCUCAAUGUGGAUUCAGCCAAUACGAUACCAAAUGAGGAGAAAUCAGGGAUAAAUUUGAAUAUAUAGCCAAGUCCAUCUUGUUUAUUGAACAUGGAUCAAAAACCUAGAAAUCCUUUCAAAAACCUAGAAAUUAUGUUAACCAAAUACCCAUAAAUGAUGUGUGUAUUCGAUUUCGAACAAUAAGAUGCAAACACUAGAGAAAUAAAGGAACAAAGCUUGCUCCAGUGGUGGCUGAGAAAUCCCGAGGAAGGGAGCACACAGUUCAAAUAAACACACAGUUCAAAUAAACACCUAUAGGUUGCGAGCCUGCUAGUGUUCCACUGGACUGUCUAGAAUAGUCCAUGGUCGUCAUCUAUACUCCGCUAGAUGACUGGAUCAUCAAUAACAUCUAUAACAAGGCCUCUCAUUGUUUUAUUUUGUCACACAGCAACUAUUACAUCUACCCAUGUUUUACCCAACACAUUUUGUAGAUAUAAAAUACAUAUACAAUUUAAAUCAUUGAAAACAUGUAUAAAACGUUCAUCCAGCAUAGAUAGCAAGUAUUCAGAUAAUAUGCACACAUAGCACGUAAUUUAUAUAAAAUACUUCAUAUCUAUGUGUAAGCUGAAAGUAACUAUGCACUCACUUGAAAGGUGGUGACUCAGCACUCGGACAGCGCUUCGAUACUCUCAAAACGAUAUUCCUUCGAUAAAACCUAGUAUCAAUACCACUAGGGUUUAGUCUAACGAUAACCGCGACAAAUUAAUUAGUCUGAGUAUUAUUAAGUGUUAAUAAUACUCGAUAUAACUCAUAAUAAUAGCCCAAAUAAUUAUUUUAAGGACCUAAUAACAUACCUAUAAUUAUUUGAAAGCUAUAUUAAAAAAUGCGUAAGCGUAGCACACUUACAGCGAAUUUUAUCGAAAACCUGAACUUAAUUGGAGCAGCGGUUCGAAACCGAAAAACUCCUUUUUCCCGGGACUCCGGGAGCCUCGGGGCUUCCCUAGGGUGCUAGGGGGUUUUUCCUAGGGUUUAGGGGGUUAAAAUGGGCUAGAGAGAGUGAGUUUUGGUGUGAAAAUGAGGGCUGCCUUCGGACCCCUUUUAUAGGCGCGAAGCUCGGACAUUACGUCGGGCGUACCGAGGAGCUACGCUGGGCGUAGUCUUGGAUAUGGUUGCCAGCUCGCACCAGCUGGCUCGCACUCCGACUCGGAAGGGAUAAGAGCGAAGGUACGCGGGGCGUACAGACUUCGGAUGCGGGGCGUAAGCGAGGGGUGGCAUGUCGCAAUCCGAAGCGACUUCUGAGACAUCAUCGGACGGUUGUGGUGCUGCCACGUCAUCGAAUUUGCAACAGNAUCGAAUUUGAACAGACUUCGCAAUUUCGAGUUACAACUUCAAAAAUUCGUAACUUUCGCGUACGACCUCGGUUUUCGACGUUCUUUAUAACCACGCGAAGGUGGGAACGUACUCUACAACUUUCGUUUAGACUCCGUCGGCUAAUUUUGGCUCGAUUUUAAAUUUUAUAUUAUUAACGGGCCGGGACACGAUUGGUCCGUUAAAUCCUCAUAACUUCUUCAUCCGACAUCCGUUUUCACCCAUCUUUUUCUCGUUACGCUACCCUUAACGAGAUCUUCGAUUCUCNNNNNNNNNNNNNNNNNNNNNNNNNNNNNNNNNNNNNNNNNNNNNNNNNNNNNNNNNNNNNNNNNNNNNNNNNNNNNNNNNNNNNNNNNNNNNNNNNNNNNNNNNNNNNNNNNNNNNNNNNNNNNNNNNNNNNNNNNNNNNNNNNNNNNNNNNNNNNNNNNNNNNNNNNNNNNNNNNNNNNNNNNNNNNNNNNNNNNNNNNNNNNNNNNNNNNNNNNNNNNNNNNNNNNNNNNNNNNNNNNNNNNNNNNNNNNNNNNNNNNNNNNNNNNNNNNNNNNNNNNNNNNNNNNNNNNNNNNNNNNNNNNNNNNNNNNNNNNNNNNNNNNNNNNNNNNNNNNNNNNNNNNNNNNNNNNNNNNNNNNNNNNNNNNNNNNNNNNNNNNNNNNNNNNNNNNNNNNNNNNNNNNNNNNNNNNNNNNNNNNNNNNNNNNNNNNNNNNNNNNNNNNNNNNNNNNNNNNNNNNNNNNNNNNNNNNNNNNNNNNNNNNNNNNNNNNNNNNNNNNNNNNNNNNNNNNNNNNNNNNNNNNNNNNNNNNNNNNNNNNNNNNNNNNNNNNNNNNNNNNNNNNNNNNNNNNNNNNNNNNNNNNNNNNNNNNNNNNNNNNNNNNNNNNNNNNNNNNNNNNNNNNNNNNNNNNNNNNNNNNNNNNNNNNNNNNNNNNNNNNNNNNNNNNNNNNNNNNNNNNNNNNNNNNNNNNNNNNNNNNNNNNNNNNNNNNNNNNNNNNNNNNNNNNNNNNNNNNNNNNNNNNNNNNNNNNNNNNNNNNNNNNNNNNNNNNNNNNNNNNNNNNNNNNNNNNNNNNNNNNNNNNNNNNNNNNNNNNNNNNNNNNNNNNNNNNNNNNNNNNNNNNNNNNNNNNNNNNNNNNNNNNNNNNNNNNNNNNNNNNNNNNNNNNNNNNNNNNNNNNNNNNNNNNNNNNNNNNNNNNNNNNNNNNNNNNNNNNNNNNNNNNNNNNNNNNNNNNNNNNNNNNNNNNNNNNNNNNNNNNNNNNNNNNNNNNNNNNNNNNNNNNNNNNNNNNNNNNNNNNAGAUUGACUUUCCGACUGAGAGCAUCAGCAACAAUAUUUGCUUUACCUGGGUGGUAAAGUAUCUCACAGUCGUAGUCCUUGAGAAGUUCUAGCCAGCGUCGUUGCCUCAUGUUCAACUCCUUCUGAUUAAAGAGAUAUAGAAGACUCUUAUGAUCAGUGAAGAGCUUGCACUUCGUGUCGUAGAGGUAAUGCCUCCAUAUCUUCAAGGCAAAUACUACCGCUGCCAAAUCCAGAUCAUGAGUGGGGUAGUUCUUUUCGUGCUCUUUCAAUUGUCGAGAUGUGUAUGCUAUCACCUUUUCUCUCUGGGUUAGAACACAACCCAACUUGACUCCAGAUGCAUCACUAUAAACCGCAAAGUCUUCAACUCCAUCGGGUAGAGAAAGUAUCGGUGCUUCGCAUAACUUCUUCUUUAGCUUCUCGAAUGCCUCAUCGUGUUUCUCACUCCACGUAUACGUAGCUCCUUUAUGGGUCAAAGCUGUUAAUGGAGCAGCUAUCGAAGAAAAGCCUUGGAUAAAUCGUCGAUAAUAUCCGGCUAAUCCUAGAAAGCUUCGGAUCUCCGUGGGACUCUUUGGACGUUCCCACUUCAUUACAGCCUCGAUCUUUGCGGGGUCAACCAUUAUCCCUUCCUGGUUAACCACGUGACCCAAGAACUGGACCUCUCGUAUCCAAAAGUCGCAUUUUGAGAACUUAGCGUAAAGCUUCUCCUUCUUUAAUACUUCCAACACUUCUCGUAGAUGCUUGCCAUGCUCCUCCUGGCUUUUCGAGUAGAUGAGAAUGUCUUCGAUGAACACCAUCACGAAUUUAUCGAGGAAUGGUUUACAAACCCUAUUCAUCAAAUCCAUGAAUGCUGCUGGAGCAUUGGUUAGUCCAAACGACAUAACCAAGAACUCGUAGUGUCCAUAUCUCGUUCUGAACGCAGUCUUCUUGAUAUCCUGAUCUCUCACUUUCAGCUGACGAUAUCCUGACCUAAGAUCGAUUUUUGAGAAGUAGCUCGAACCUUGCAGCUGAUCGAAUAGGUCAUCAAUCCUCGGCAAUGGAUACUUGUUCUUCACCGUUUGCUUAUUCAGCUCUCGGUAGUCUAUACACAUUCUCAUACUUCCGUCCUUCUUCUUCACGAAUAACACCGGAGCUCCCCAGGGUGAUGAACUAGGUCGAAUAAAACCGUUGUCCAACAGCUCCUGAAGUUGCGUCAUGAGCUCCUUCAUCUCCGUCGGUGCUAAUCGGUAAGGUGCCUUUGCUAUUGGUGUUGUUCCUGGUAACAAGUCUAUACGAAACUCCACUUGUCUAUCAGGUGGUAAUCCGGGAAGAUCUUCGGGAAAGACUUCCGGAUAAUCACACACAACCGGUAUAUUCUGCACCUCUUUCUUCUCCUUCUUAGCAUCGAUUACGAAUGCCAAGUACGAUGCACAUCCUUUGGACAAACAUUUCCUGGCUUUCAUCAGGGAGAUGAUUCCAGAAUUCACUCUGCGUUUGUCCCCAUACACCAUAAAUGAUUCCUUUCCGGGUGGGUUUACCCUUACUAUCUUCUUUCGGCAUUGAAUCUCAGCAUCGUUGGCGCUAAGCCAAUCCAUACCCAAAACGAUGUCGAAACCGUUUAACUCUAUGGGUAAUAGCUCUUCGUGGAAUUCGUUUCCGUUUAGGUCAAUGACGAUGUUCCUAAUACGAUUACUAACAGGUACGAAUUUGCCACUGGCAACUUCUACAAUCAGGGCAUUAUCUAGUUUUUCUACAGGCAAUGCUAAUUUCCCACCAAAUUUAUGCGACACAAAGGAGUAGUUGGCUCCGGAAUCAAAUAGUAUAUUUGCAGGCAAACCAUUUACAAGAAAGGUACCUGAAGCGACGUCUGCUGCCUCCUUUGCAGCCUCGAGCGUCAUCUGGAAGGCUCUCGCCUUCGGCUUCGGUGGUAUGUUGGGUCUUCCUGUCUCCUUCUUCUUCGGGCAGUCCUUCAAAAUGUGCCCUUCUUCAUUGCACCCAUAACAGGCUUUCUGGUUGAGGGUGCAUUCAUUGGCGUAGUGCCCAGGCUUUCCGCACUUGUAACAAGUGACCCCUCCGUCACACUUCCCAGAGUGCUUCUUCUUGCACUUGUCACACCACUUCGCUUCUGAUCCUCCUCCCCUCGAACCAGACUUCGAGAAUCUACUCUUCUUGUUGGACUUCGAGGAUCCAUUGAACUUCCGUUUCUCACCAACCUCAGCCCUCUCCAGACCUCUUUCCUUUUGUUGGGUCUCCACGUUCUUAGCUGCUCGAACAGCUGAUUUCAGAGUGGUUGCCAUCUUGACUGUUGGGCCAAAGUCAGCCGGCAGUCCGUUUGCGAAUUUCUCAAUUUUGGAAAGUUCGGUUGGCACUAGGUAUGGAAACAACUUCAUCUUUUCCGUAAAUGCAGCAGCAUAGUCAUCGAUGCUCAUUCUCCCCUUCUUCAAAUUUUGGAACUCAUUGUUCAGAUCAAUCAGGUCUAUCUCUGAACAGUACUGCGCCUUCAGUUGUUCCAAGAACUCAUCCCAUGACAUUUUCAGAGCUUCUCCCCGUGGCAUUGUAUCUGCCAAUAGCUUCCACCAGCUCAAGACUCCAGUUUUCAAUUGUCUCACAGCGAAGACAGUCUUCUGCUUCUCGCUGCAGUCGCAGCUCUCAAACACCAUCUCCAUCUCGGAGAUCCAGUCCAUAAUCUCAACAGGCUUUGGGCUUCCUGAGAGACUUGGUGGUUUCGCACCCAAGAAAUUUUUGUACAUCCGCCCAUCCUUGUUGUUUCUCCCUUCUGGGCCAUCCUUUUGCUCACCUUGAGUCCCUACUUGACUCACUUGGCGGCUAUAGUUCCCUUCCUCAGAUGGCUCGGGAACUGGCUCCGUCGGUUCAACAUGUAUGGUAGGUUCGUCCCUAUUUUCGUGGAGCAUCCGUCUCAUUUCUUCCCUUUGUUCAGCUAGCAUAGCCUGAAUCAUGGCUUGAACUCCAGCCAUGGUGACUGGCUCAGGUGCAACUUCUUCAACAACAGGUAUUUGCUGAACCACUGGGGGUUGGUUCCUACCUCCAUUUGCGUUCACGUUUCCGCUACGGGUCCUUGCCAUCUUGAUCUAUACACCGAAUAAGGUGAAUUUAGAUCUUUAUUUAGGAUAGACGUUUUAAAUCGUCCUUAUCACUCCGAAACGUUUACAUGCUAGUUCUAAUAUCGUAGUCGUACGUUUAGAAUCCUAAACACAUAAGGUUUCCAGAUCCGGUCGGCAACAGACCAUAGAUCCGAACAAAUAAUAGCAUAUCAGGCACAAAGCAUUUAGCACAUAAAAGCAUUUUAGGCAUAAUUCCUAAAAUAAUCUAGUGCUCACACCUCACAGUCAUCGCUUAGCAUUCUAAGUUUAAGUCUAGAAAUAAUCCAUAUUCCUAGUUCGCUUAAACUAAUGCUCUGAUACCAACUGUGACAUCCCCAAAAUCACGGCCAGAAAAGACCGGUUUGUUUAUGCUUUGUUUAAAAAUCAGAGUAACAUUUUAAAUAAAAGUGUUGCGGAAUUUGUCCCAAAACGAAAUAUGAUAAAGAUUUAUCAAAAGCAUUUCCAUAGAAAUGUAUUUCAUUAAAAGACUCGGGAUGUCAUGUUCGUACAGAUCAAAAGCAUGAACAGUAUAAUAUAAGCCUUACUACAUUAUUUCAUAUCUACAGGCCUAUAUCCGUAAUCCCUCAUCAAAACAUCAUAUAUAUGCUCAAGCGCCACUACCUGUAAUACAUAAAACUGAGUGGGUCAGGCUUGGGAGCCUGGUGAGCACAUAGGGUUUUCAACCUACAAUAAAUAAGUUUAUUAUCUUCAUUAAAUUAAACAAACCCGAUUACCCGUUCCCAUUAUCCUCACAUUACGUCCCUAAGCAUCUAUCAUAAGGGACCUAUCCUAAGGAUUAUCAUUGGGACGGACACUACUGCUAAGGGGAUUCCUCAACAAUAAAUGUCCUUAAGGCAACCAUGUGGGGGAUGGAGUACAUCUGGUGAGCACACAGUUCAAAUAAACACACGGUUCAAAUAAACACCUACAGGUUGCGAGCCUGCUAGUGUUCCACUUGACUGUCUAGAAUAGUCCGUGGUCGUCAUCUAUACUCCGCUAGAUGACUGGAUCAUCAAUAACAUCUAUAACGAGGCCUCUCAUUGUUUUAUUUUGUCAUACAGCAACUAUUACAUCUACCCAUGUUUUACCCAACACAUUUCUGGUAUCGUGCCAGUUCUGUCGCGAAACUUCGACGGGUCAUAACUUCUUCGUUAUAACUCGGAUUUCGGCGUUCCUUAUAUGUACGAAAACCUUGAGACAUAUUCUACAACUUGAUGUAGAGAUAUCGGGCUUAUCUCACACUUUAAUUUUGACGCUCAUUUUUUUAUUCUUUAUUAAUUAUACAUUUAUAAUUAAAUAGUAAGCACAUAAACACACAUAAUUCACAUAAUACUCAAAUAUUCAUCUUUAUUACUUCAAAAAGAGUUACAAGAGUUGACAUAGACUAUUACAUUGACAAAAAUGCUUAGCCCUGAAACCCGGGCGUUACAGCAGUCGAUCUCUGGCGAGACCUCCUUAGUUCAUUUGCUUUGGCGCUAGUAGCAACACACGAAGGGGGAGGAGCAAAGCAGUCGCCAAUCAGGGUGGUGUUUUUGGAUCUAUUAUGGACGACAGAAGGGAGUGAAGAAGAAAGAGAGGCAGCUGUUGGUGGCUGUCAUCGCCGAUAAUGGUGGGGAGAGGGGCUCCUCUGGUAGCUCCUCGUUUUUUCUUCUUUUCUGAUUCGACAGAAAACAUUGCAGACAAGGGUUAGGAGAGCAUGAUGAUCUUUAGGGGUGUUUGGGUGGUGUUGCUCGGUCGGAGAAGGAAGGAGAAGGUAGCUCCGGUGGCCGACAACCUCUUCCUUGGCCGGUGAUGAAGAAAAACGGGAAGGAAUGACUGAAGGGAGGAAGGAAGAGAGAGAGAGAGAGAGAGAAAGAGAAAGGGGGCAGGUGGGUCCCAUUCUUGAUUUGAUUUAACAUUGAUAUUUAAAUAAAAGAAAAAAACAAUUAAGUAAAUGGAAAAAAACAAAUUAAAAGGGCAAAGGCGUCUUUUUAAGUUUAUCGGGACUGAUUUUACAAUGAAACUAACUCAAAAGGACCACUAAUCCAAAAAAACUCGUGGUUUGGAUCAAAACCCCAAAAAAAUGCAUACCACAGGCACCAUUUUUGCAAUUUUGUCAUAAAAUAUUGACAAAACUUCAUAAAUGAUCCUUAUGGUAUCCCGAAAUCUGAAGUUUGGUCCCUAAGUUUAAAAAACCUCACUAUGGUACCUGUGGUUUCAAAAUGUUUGAUGUUUGGUCCUUAUUGCUAACGUUGUCAUCUUUUGUCAGCUAACUAAAGAGCAUUUUCGUCAUUUCACUACACAUGGACCAUUUAUGAAGUUUUGCCUUAUUAAAAAAAUAAUAAAUAAUAAAUAAUAAAUAAUUAUUUGAUAUAAAAGGCUCCUUCCAUUGCCUCUACAGGGACCAAGAAGUUUCGUCAUUUCACUACCACAAGGGUCAUUUUCGUCAUUUCACUAUCAUGGGGACCAAGAAGUUAUAUGAGAGGUUUUUUUUACUUUUAGGGAGGCGGAGGUUUUGGAGAGAGAGAGAGAGAGAGAGAGAGAGAGAGAGAGAGAGAGAGAGAAGAGUUUCUUUUACGGUUGAGAGAUUUUUUUAAAUAAGGCAAAACUUCAUAAAUGAUCCUUAUGCCAGUAAAAUGAUGAAAAAUACACUUCAGAUAACGGACAAAAGAUGACGGAGUUGGCAAUAAGGAUCAAAUAUCAAAAGUUUUGAAUCCACAUGGACUAUCUGUGGGGUUUUUAAAACUUAGAGACUAAACUUCAGAUAGAUUUUGAGAUACUACAAUGACUUUUUAUGAAAUUUUGUCCAAAAUAUAUUUAUUUAUAAAGUUAAAAUAAAACAAUUAUCUUUCAAACUCAUUCUAUUUUUAGAAUACUUUAGUUAGUUGUAAGCCUACAAACAGAGCUGUUAAUAAUAUCAUCACAAAUCUAGAGUAACAGUAUUAAUUUACUUCAUAUCAUCCCAAAUCUAGAGUAGCACUAUUAAUUUACUUCAUAAAUAGAAAUUAAAUUUCAUUUAUCAUAUUUGGCUCUUUAAAUUUGAGUUUGUAUAUAUCUAGUAUUUAACUUGCUCCAUUUUUAAGUUUAUUUAAUUAUAUUGUUAUAUUUAUUGUUAUAUAUUAAUAUGAUAAUUGUUUCAAAAUGUAUUUUAAAUUUAAUACGUUUUAAUAAUUUAUAACAUGAUAUCAUAAUUAAUAAAUCUUCAAAUGACCAUAUAGAAUAAAUAUUAUAAUAUUAAUAUCCUAAUAUUACAUUACCAUUAAUCGAAUAACAUAAAUUUUAACGUUAAUAUAACAAAAAAAAUAGACAAAAUUGUAUGAACCUUAUAAAUUUAUACAUUAUUUAUGAAAUUUUGACAAGUUAGAGAAAAUAAAUAUUAUUUGGAAUUCUUUUUUAAUGUAAAAGAUAAAAUGUAAAAUAAAAUAGUGUUUGGAGAAUCAUGUUUAACUCUAUUUUAAGAUUAACAGAUAGAAUGUGUUUUGGAGAAUCAUGUUAACUCUAGUUUACGUUUAACAGACCGGUGAGCAUUGCAGUGCUCUGGUGGUCUACUAUGGAUAGUCUUACUGCCUACCUGGGCACCUCAAUACCAAAACCCUAGAUUUCUAUUUGUCACUGCUUUGGGAGUAAACGCUGCGUACCAGGUAUCGUUCUCUGCUCAAUUAUAUACUCAUUGUCCCAUUUAAUCGUCUUACUCCUCUUUACACCCUGAUAAUGAUAUACUGUUAAAUUUUUUUUAUUACUGUAGAUCUCUAUCACAAGCGAUCGUUUGUUCCUUAAGCAAUGGGGCUGGUGAGUUAUUCGUUUGUUGCUGUAUCAGUUUUUUAUAUAUUUGACGCUUUAUCGUACGAAUGAGGGUUUCGAUGUGCAAUCUUCGUGGAUCGUUUUGUUUCGUUUACUGAUUUUAACUUUUUUUUUGUUCGUUAUAUGAAAAAACUCGCUGGAACUUUAUUGUAUAUCUCUGCCACUAGAAUUUUCAGAUAUUCAUGCUGUUUUGUGUCAUCAAUCGGCUGUGUAGUUAUAGUGAUGUACUAAAUCUUCUUGUCGAUUUGGAUGAUUUUGUUUCAUAAUCAACUAGAAAUGUUAGAUGUUAAUCAUGCACUUAAUCUUCUAUUUGUUUAUGUUCUGGAUGAGACCUAAUUUUUAUGAUUCAUUCAUCCAAUUCAAUUGUUGAAACUUGAAACAGCUGUUAUUGUUGCUUUACUAUUAUAAAGUGUGAGGUUUAUUGUUUGUUUGCGAUCAUUUGAUACUUACAUUCUUGUAUCCUGUUGCAGAUUAUGCAUGCAGGGUCAAACAACAAGAACGUUUACAAGACAUUAAUUGUGGCAGAAUAUGUUGGUGUUGAGAUCAAAAUGGCUGAAAACUUUCAGAUGGGUGUGUCAAAUAAAACUCCUGAAUUUCUUAAAAUGAACCCUAUUGGAAAGGUAUUGUUUUCCUGAUUUAUAAUCUGAUUAAAACUUUUUACAAAAUUCAAAAUUUUAUUUUUAGUUUUACAUGAUAUGAUUCAUCAUUGAUGCAGGUCCCUGUUCUUGAGACUCCUGAGGGCCCUAUAUUUGAGAGUAAUGCAAUUGCUCGAUAUGGUGAUGAACCAAAAAGCCAUUAUUGAGUUGUUUCUAAUCUUCUUCUGUUUUUGAGUAAUUGGCUUACUUUGUUAUGUUUUAUGCUGCAGUUGCUCGUUUGAAACCUGGAAAUUCUCUUUUUGGUUCUUCCCCAAUAGAAUAUGUAAGUUUUUUUCUUUGUGAUUUGUCUAAUUAUGAAGGAAUAGUGAUACUUAUAACAAAGCUUACCUAUUCUUAUUAAAAUAUUUUAUACAGGGCCAAAUUGAACAGUGGAUCGAGUUUUCUACAUUGGAGCUUGAUGCAAAUAUGAGGGGAUGGGCCUUGCCAAUAUUUGAACAUGCCACCUACAUCAAAUCUGUUAGUUACUCGUGCUCUUGUUUUUGGUUUUGCUUUCUUUUAUCAAUUUAAAAGUUUUUUUUUUCCUCUUUUGCAUGUGUUUUGUGAAAUUGUCAAAAUGAUAAUUUUGUGUGCAUGUUGUGAAGGCUGAAGAGAGAUAUAUUGCUGCUGUGAAGAGAGGUCUCGGUGCUUUAAACACACAUCUUGCUUCACAUACAUUCUUGGUUGGUGAUUGUGUUACUUUGGCUGACAUCAUCAUGACAUGCAACUUUGCGAUGUGUUUUAAAUAUUUGUUUACAAAAAGUUUCACAUCUGAGUUUCCUCAUGUUGAGAGGUAUUUCUGGACCAUGGUUAAUCAACCAAAUGUCAGUAAGAUACUUGGAGAAAUCAAACAAGCAGAAGUUCUUCCUCCCAUUCCUUCAGCCAAGAAACCAGAAACCAAACCAAAAUCCGAGCCUAAAAAGGAAGUCAAGAAAGAACAAACCCCCAUGCCCAAGCCUGAAUCCGAAGCUGCCAUAGAGGAGGAAGAGGCACCCAAGCCUAAGGCAAAGAAUCCUCUUGAUUUAUUGCCUCCAAGUCCAAUGGUUUUGGAUGACUGGAAAAGGCUUUACUCUAACACCAAAACUAACUUCCGUGAGGUUGCAAUCAAAGGUAUUUUCUUUUUUGACCUUUUUUUUUUUAAAUAUAUCCUCUUCUCAGACAACAGUUGGCUGAUAUAUUUGUUGAUUUUGUUGCAGGUUUUUGGGAUAUGUAUGAUCCAGAGGGAUACUCUCUGUGGUUUUGCAACUACAAGUACAAUGAUGAGAACACUGUCUCAUUUGUGACAAUGAAUAAGGUUGGUGGAUUCCUUCAGCGAAUGGAUCUUGCAAGGAAAUAUGCUUUUGGAAAGAUGUUGAUUAUUGGAAACGAGCCUCCAUUCAAGGUCAAGGGUUUGUGGCUUUUCCGUGGGACUGAAAUCCCAAAAUUUGUGAUGGAUGAGUGUUAUGACAUGGAGCUUUACGAGUGGACCAAGGUUGACCUUUCUGACGAGGCACAAAAGGAGCGUGUGAAUCAGAUGAUUGAAGAUUUUGAGCCUUUUGAGGGUGAAACUCUCUUGGACACCAAGUGCUUCAAAUGAAGGGAAAGUGUUGAUAGACAGAUACCUAUCUUGAUCCAUCUGGUAUUGUUUGUGUAAAACAAAGACCAUAAUAUAGUGAUAUGCAAAGUUCAAGGUGUCCCACAAGCAUGUUUGGCAAUUUUUACGACUACAAAAGAUGUGCUAUAUUGUAAUAUCGAUAUAGUAAGCAAAAUGUGAAAUGAAAAGCAACUAGCAACCCAUUUAAUGCUAUGCAUUUCAAGUAAGAAAGCAAAAGGUGAAUGUAAAGCAAGACAUUUUGUUGUAGCCCUAAAAAUACUUUGACGUUAAUGUUACCAAGUGUAGCAUGUGUAAUAUAUAUUAGUCUAUGCGAUUGAUUUGUGUGACCAACAUCAAUAAUUUUAGACUCAAAGUUGAAGCUCCAGAACUGGUAUUUCCUCUUGUAAUUAGGCUCAUUUAGUAGCGUUGAGGAAAGAAACUUUUGUAAUCAUACGCUUAAUGCACCGGCUUAAAGCUCCAUUGGUCAAGAUGCUUACAACUGGUACCUGUUAAUGGCUGAGUUCCAUGAUUUUGGGUCUAGAUUGAUGCGACUCUCUCAAAGUUUAAAAAACUUUAUAGAAAAUUUUCAGGCAUUGUUGUGUGUAAUUGUAUAUGCACAAGCGAGUAAUUUAUUUUUCACGAGUGUUAGCAUUAUCUAGUCACACUUCGUAACAUACGAUUUUAGGUAGAGUUGUCUGUAGAAAAAAAAAUGACCAUCAAGGCAUACGUCCAUGUAAUGCUCUUGUCUUAUGUAUGUUGUGGCCAUGACAAUGAAGAGUCGUGGUUUCAUGUUAAAGGAUACAAACUGUAUUUUCAACACGAGAAGAUUGCAUUACAUUAAUAAGAUUUUGAGUUUUAUUUUGUAUUGGAUAUUAUAGACCAACUAGCUAGAUAACUCCAAUUAGUUGGUCUAUAAAUUAUGUAUUUCCUUUUCAUUUCAUCUGAUAAUAAUAUAAAACCCUAAUCGUUCUAUAUCUUUUAUUUUAUUUUGUUCACAUUCAUUUUGAGAGAUACGCAUAGAUGCAGAUGAUAUUGAGAAAUUAAAUAUCCUCUUACUUUUUGUUCCUACAUAUCUUCUACCCAAUAAAAUGUAACAUUUAAUGUUAAUUUAAUGAUUUCUAAUGAUAUUUUAGGAUACUAAUAUGACACAUGUCAUCAUUUAAAUGGGUAGGAGUAUUAAUAUGAACAAAUGAUAGGUGGAUAUUUAAUUUCUCGAUGAUAUUAGCCGGUUUACCUUUUGCAUUCCUUCCGUCCCAUUAGAUGAUAAAUAUCGACUAACAUGCAAACAUUUUGCAAAUUUAGGCAACAUUCAUUGGUUUUUACUAAAAAGUACCACAAGUUAUUAAAUACUACAUUUAUAUUAUCUAAAAAUAAAUGUUUUUUUUAUUUGUAAAUUUUCAUCAUGGUUUUAAUCUUACAGUAAUACAAGAUCCUCUACCAAACAAUAAAGAAUAAAUUACAAGUACAUUUAGAUAGUACCCUUUAUCACACAAAGAGAAUAAAAGAAGAUUAUAGUAAUAUAAUAUCCGAUGUGAAACAAAAAGAGCAUAAUAACAUCACAACAAAAUAAUACUAUCUACCACACAAACAAAAUACAAUACGAUUACUGUAAGAAAUACCCUAUGUCAUAUGGAAUGAAAACAAUAAGAUUUCAAUAAGACAAGUACUUUAUAAGACAAAGAUAAUACUAUAAGACUAUAGUUGGAUUCAAUCAUAUAUCAAUAACAAAGAGAAGAUAGUAAGAUAAUAUUCUUUUUUCUCCGUUAACAAAAUCAAUGACUUUAUUGUUAAUUAGUCCAUAAUAUAAGGACUUUUUUGAAGAUUACUAUCUAAAAUCCUAAAGUUAUAAACGAUUGUUGGUUUCUUGUCAUUUCAUGUAAAUAAUUGAUUGGUUUUGUUUGACCAUUACAAAUUUUAAUUUAAUAUUUGGAAAUCAAAAUGAAAAAAAUAAUUACUCAAAAUAAUAAAACUUUAAAGGUGAUAUAUAAUAAAAGGAAAUCUUUAAUAAAGUCUCAAUAUUUUGAACCAAUUUACAAUUUUGUCCAAUCUUUUAUUUUCUGAACAUAAAAGUUUCGAUUAUUUUAUAUUUUACUCAAACUAACGAAACAAUCCUUAUUUUUUUACAACAGAAAAUGACAAAUUAUCGUAUAAAAUUAGAUAAUCAGGACUUUUCUAUUCAAAAAGUAAAUGUUAUGAUUAAACCGUAAACAGACCCAAAAUAUUGAGGCUUUAUCGGAAAUUUCCUUAUAAUAAAUGAAUAAAAUUGAAACAUUAUUAAACAAAAAGAGUUAAUUCUACAGAACAUAAAACUAAAAUAAGUGAGUAGGAUAAAAAUGGUUGAUAGUAUUGACCCAAAAAUAAUUGACUAUAAUAAUAAAAAAAAAAAAAAACACUUUUUAGGUGAUUUUUAAUAUUCAGUAAAAAAAACUUUCAAUGGAGAUGAUAAGUUAGAACAAAUCAUUUUAAUUCAUUUUAAGGUUAUUUUGAGUAAUUAUUUUGACCAAAUGCAGCGAACGGGUCGCAGGUCAACCCACAACACAUGUAUUGAUCUCUAAAGUACAAGAUCAUGCCAAAUACAUUAAAAAAAACUACAAUACCAAAAAGUGUAGUUCGAUUGUCAAACAACAAUUGUUCAUAAAUUGAUGAAUUCAAACACGCCACGAUCAUUGAUACUGAACUCGCAAUCACUUAGCAUAUAAAAUUUGCUAUCAUUAACAAGAGCAUGAUAAUUUUUUUACAAUAUCAAAUAAUGAUGUUUAAUGUCAUGUAAUAGACUAAUAAUAAAGUAAAUUUACUACAUUAAGUUAAUUUAUAUAGAAAUAAGAAAAAUGUAACAUUGCAUUUGAAAAGUCAAACAUGUUUUCUAAAGGGAUAAUAACUUAAAACUCCCAUAGUCUUCAUCCAAGAAAAGUAACGAGUCCCGUUCGGUGGAAGGGCUCUCUAUGGCUAACUGGCUCGGAGGUAUUAUAUAUAUAUAUAUAUAUAUAUAGUCAUUUAUGUUUUUUUUAUAUAUUUAAUCACUUAUCUUUUUUAUUUUGUACACAUAUAACCAUUACAUUUAAUGAUCAUAUAUGUACAAAAUAAAAAACAUUAGUUACCCUUUAAAGCAUUAUCCUUUUUCUCUGUAUCAUCGUAAUCAAAUUCUUCUUCCAAUUCUUAUUUAAUCACCUAAAAGUUUGUCUUAUUAAUUCAUUCAUAGUAAACUAGUUUUUUAUAACGGCUUUAAGACAACAAUUUAAUCGGUUUAUUGCGUAACAGGUCGGUCCAAUCCAAUUUGUAAAUAACAAAAGGGAUUUAAAGCCAAAAACAAUAUUUUCUAAGACAAAAAUGUGAAAUGAUUUAAUUAUAAAAAAUAUUCUUUAUAACUCAUAUAUUUUAUAUUUUUUAAUAAGAAAUAUUCUCUAUAAUUAAUGAAUUAAAUAGUAAUAUUCACCUAUAUAUGUAUGGUACAUGUUUAUAAAAUCUGAUAACCAAAUAUCACUCUUAAAUGACCGUUAUUUUUUACCGUUCAAUAUCCAACUGGUCGACCAACCUGGUUAACCCGGGUUUUAAAACAUUGUCUUAACUCUUAACCCUAACAAAGUUCGUCUCACUCUCUUUAAACACUGAUACACUCUUGGAUUUUCUUUGUUACUCUAGAUCGAUAUCAAAAGGCGGAUCAUUCCUUUGUUCCUCUUGUCAUUUAAGCAAUGGUGCUGGUGAGUUUUUGUUGCUUUGUGUUAGUUUUAAUUAGUUGAUGCUUUUCUUAAGUGGAGUUUGUUAUGAAUCUCUUGUUUUAUAUACAAAUCGUACAGAUGUGGGUUUUGAUGUGCAUUUUUCGUAGAUUGUUUUGUUUAGUUUACUGAUUUUAACUUUCUCCCUCUUUUUCGUGAUUUGAAGAACUCACCAGGACUCCAAUCAUUCACUUCAGCUACUCUAAUCUUCGACAUUGCUGUGUUUUGCCUUUUGUGUAAUCAAUCGAUCAUGCUUUGGCUCUGUAGUUAUAGUCGUGCUGGGCAACGGGUCCAAACGGGUUAGGGUUUAGAACAUUUAGAAUAUGUCGGAGCUUAAGCAAUAUGUUUCUAUUUAGCAUGAUUAUUUGCUCUAUUCUGAAUGUUAUUUGUGGUUAUAUCAGCAUUUUCAACCUUAUGUUCUCUAUUCUGGUACGCACUUAAUUUUCUGUUUUGUUGAAGUUAUUUUAAUUGUUAAAACUUCUGUUGUUGUUGUUGUUGUUGUUGUUGUUGUUGGCUUUAUCUUUAUGCUACUUUGUGGGGUAGAAUAGAUGUCUUAGCUUUUGAUAUAUGAGAUGUGAGGCUCUAUUGUUGGUUUGAGAUCCUUUGAUAUUUAUAUUCUUGAGUCAACUGAUUCCUUUCCAUUUGAUGUAUUGUGCUUGUUACAGAUUAUACAUUCAGAAUUAAACAAGAAUGUUUGCAAGGCAUUAAUUGCUGCAGAAUAUGUUGAUGUUGAAGUCAAAAUGGCUGAAAAUUUUCAAAUGGGCAAGUCAAAUAAGACUCCUGAGUUUCUUAAGUUGAACCCUCUUGGAAAGGUAUUGUUUUAUGGUUUAAUCUUAUUUAUACUUCCUACAAAAAUUCAAUACUUUUUUUUUUUUAAAUUUUUUACACCAUAUGAUUUGCAGGUUCCUGCGCUUGAGACUCCCGAGGGGCCUAUAUUUGAGAGUAAUGCAAUUGCUCGCUAUGGUGAGGGACAAAAUAGUCAUUAACAUUUCUAAUCUUUUUUUUUUUUAAUUAUUAUUAUGGUGAUGGUUCUUAUUUUGUCAUAUUGUUUGUUGAAGUUGCUCGUUUGAAGCCUGAAAAUACUCUCUUUGGAUCUUCACCGAUAGAAUAUGUAAGUUUUUUUUGUGUUCUUUUCUCAUGAAUCAUGAUGAAGGAAUAAUGAUACUUCUAUAUAAAAAAGUUUGUUUAAUUUUAGAAAAAUAUUUUAUACAGGGCCAAAUUGAGCAGUGGAUUGACUUUUCUGCAUUGGAGCUUGAUGCAAAUAUGAGAGCAUGGGUCUUUCCAAGACUUGGAUAUGCCACAUACAUCAAAUCUGUUAGUUACUCCUGCUCUUUUCUUUUUGUUUUUUUUUUAAUAUUAUUCUUUUGCUCGUUUGAUAUUUUUUUUUUGAAAUGGUCUAUAUGAUAAAUCUGUGUGUAUGCAUGAUUUGAAGGCUGAGGAGAGUUAUAUAUCUGGUGUGAAAAGAGGUCUUGGUGCUCUAAACACGCAUCUUGCUUCACGUACUUUUUUGGUUGGUGAUUCCGUGACUUUGGCUGACAUCAUCAUGACAUGCAACUUGGUGAAUGGUUUUAAAUUUUUGUUUACAAAGAGUUUCACUUCUGAGUUUCCUCAUGUUGAGAGGUAUUUCUGGACCAUGGUUAAUCAACCAAACUUCAGUAAGAUAAUUAAAAGAAUGGGGGAAGUCAAGCAAGCAGAAGUUGUUCUUCCUUUUACUUCCACCAAGAAACCAGAGUCCAAACCAAAAUCUGAACCUAAAAAAGAAGAAGCCCCUAAGCCCAAGCCUGAACCCGAAGCUGCCCCAGAAGAGGAAGAGGCACCCAAGCCUAAGGCAAAGAAUCCUCUUGAUUUAUUGCCUCCAAGUCCAAUGGUUUUGGAUGACUGGAAAAGGCUUUACUCUAACACCAAAACUAACUUCCGUGAGGUUGCAAUCAAAGGUAUUUUCUUUUUUGACUUUUUUUUAAAAAAAAAUAUAUAUCUUCUUCUCAGACAACAGUUGGCUGAUAUAUUUGUUGAUUUUGUUGCAGGUUUUUGGGACAUGUAUGAUCCAGAGGGCUACUCUCUGUGGUUUUGUAACUACAAGUACAAUGAUGAGAACACUGUCUCAUUUGUGACAAUGAAUAAGGUUGGUGGAUUCCUUCAGCGUAUGGAUCUUGCAAGGAAAUAUGCUUUUGGAAAGAUGUUGAUUAUUGGAAACGAGCCUCCAUUCAAGGUCAAGGGUUUGUGGCUUUUCCGUGGGACUGAAAUCCCAAAAUUUGUGAUGGAUGAGUGUUAUGACAUGGAGCUUUACGAGUGGACCAAGGUUGACCUUUCUGACGAGGCACAAAAGGAGCGAGUGAAUCAGAUGAUUGAAGAUUUUGAGCCUUUUGAGGGUGAAGCUCUUUUGGAUGCUAAAUGCUUCAAAUGAGGGAAAAUGCUUCUAAGAUUACAACUUAACGGAUUUCCAAUAACAUGUGAAAAUUAUUGAAGAUUACAUCAAUUUUAGGGCCGUUUACACAUAGAAUGUUCUGUAAAUAUCUAGAUAUCAAACUUGAUGAUUCGUUGAUGUAUUAUGGCAUGUACUUGGAAAUAUGUGUUUCGUUCAAUGAUUGAACCCAACUCGUAAGCAUUAUCACUCCAAAUGAUCUUAAUUAGAGAUACAUAUUGAGUUUAAUGAGUGAAAUAAAUGCUUUAGGGAGAAAGGAUGCAUCACUAUUACUUUUCAACAGAUGUACCUAUUUAUGUCGUAUGUGUAUCUGUACAUGAAUUUGGUAAAAAAGUUUUAGCUGAAUGAGAGAUACUUUUUGGAAAGGACAAACGAUGUUGUCUAGCUUGAGAACAAAUGAUACAAGAGUCAAGACAUGCAUGGCCAUAUAAAGAAAGAUUGUGUAAAAUUUUCUUAAAUUUGUCAAGAGGAACAUGACCAAAACGUCAACGUCACAUAACCAAAAUGUUGAUGUCACGUAGUAAAGAAACAUAAGGAAAGACUUGUUUUGAUCUCAUUGUGAUAAUAAAAUAAAAUAAAAUAAAAUAAAAUAAAAAAGUCAUUUAUUUUUUGUGGAAAUUUGCCUUCCAAUAUAUUCAAGUCAUCAAUAGUUCAAGGGUUAAAAGAUGUAACUUGUUCUUAUGUAAAUUAAAGAGAACACUGUAGGGAAUCAUUGAGUGUCAAAUUGCAUUUAAUCCAUAUUUUCAAUUUUUAACUAGUAACAUCCCAUAUCUAUAUCUAUAUCUAUAUGAUACAUACUUAUAAAGCUAAUAUUUUUUUUUGAAUCUCAUGCAUUUGAAACUUCUUUUUUUAACUUCCUCAAACCACAUUCAUUUGAAACCCUCUUUUUUAACUAAUGCAACUCAAAAGUUUUCUUAAUUAUGAUUUAACACUCAAAAGUUUUAUAAUUUAUAUUAUGCUUAAUUAGCAUAUAGUGAAAAGUUUAGUAUAAAAAUGCCAAUUUUUUGUGUCUUUUGUGUUAUAUAAAAUCUUACAUGUAAGAAGGAUUUGAAGAUACUGUGAUUCAAAAGUUUUCACGUAGUUGAAGCAUUCACGAUCUAAAUAUGAUGAUUUGAAGAAAUGGGUUAUGUCGAUCCAAAUAUGAUGAUUUGAAGAAAUGGGUUAUGUCGCAUCGAUGAUAAUUGUAAUAUGAUUUUUUCUUUCGACCAAAACAAAUGAAGUUUUUCUAUUCUUUCUUUAUAUUCAGUUUCUCAUUUAAUCUUUAUAUGUGAUUUGUGUGUAUUAUUCAAUCUUGAAUGUGAUUCUCCAAACAUCAAUGUUUUGCUUGGAAUAUCUUUUUGAUUCUUCUUUUUCAAGAAAAAUAUUUUGAUUGCAGGUUAGUGAAGAAUUGUGAUAAGUUUCUAUGGUUGAAUGAUGUUAAAUGAAGAAAGAAGAUUCAUAAAAUGGAUAUAGGUUUUUUUUGUUUGAGCAAGUUGACGAAUGUUAGUUUUUUCUUUUGAUUUAAAUGUAUGUUUAUCUAACAUCUUUAUUUAUAUAUUAAACUACCCAAUGCUCUUAUUUAUUUGAUAGUAGUUUUUCUAUUUUGAUUAUGUUUAUUUUCUAUUAUAUUUUUGUUGGGUUAUCCUACACAACAUAUUUAAAAGACAAUAUUUAAAAGAUAACAUAAUUUUGAACAUUUGAUAUGUAAUUAUGAUAGACUUAUCAUGAUAUGUUCUUCAUAUGAAAGUAAUUUAUCCAUAUUAAUACAACAAGAAUUACAUAUGACAUUUACGAAAAUAUAUAUAUUAUAUGUGAUUUGUUUAACAUGUAUAUGCACCUAUGUAUGUUAUAAAUUUAUAAUUAAAUAUCUUUAUGUUUAAUAAUUGAAGGGAUUAAAAUGAUGCAUCAAAACCAAUUAUUUAGACAAAUAUAAUAAUAAUAAUAAUAAUAAUAAUAAUAAUAAUAAUAAUAAUUAUACAUUUCCAAGUACCGCAUUCAUUUGAAACUCACACUACAACUCAAGAGUUUUUUAAUUUAUGUAUAUUUAUUAGUUACAACUCAAGAGUUUUUAACUUAUGAUCAUUAAUUAGUAAUCACUAAUAACUUUUUAUUUUCCUUUCUUUUAUAAGGUUGUAAAGUUUUGCUCAUUAAAAACAUUAAUGUAUUUGAAGAGAUUUGUGAUUUAAAUAUGAAGAGUUAAUAUAAAUGUUAUAAUAGAUGUUUUAAUGUUUUUUAUGUUAUUAAAAGUUAUAAUGUUUAUUUUUUUAUUUUUUAUUAUUCGUUGUAUAUAUAUCUUUUUUAAUACAAACGUUAUAAUAGAUGUUUUUCUAUUUUUAUGUUACUAAAAGUUGCAGUUCAUAUUUUUGUUCAUAUGUUCUGUUACCCGUUAUAUUAUCAUUCAUUUGAUAUAUAAUUUACACAACUUUAAACGGUUUAUAAAAUUAUAAAAUAAUUGUAUAUAUCACAAUGACUUAAAAAUUAAACUAUAAUGUUUAAUAAAACUAAUAUGUUAACUAUAUGUUUGCUUACUACUAACAUUUUGUUUCAAAGUAGAAAUAUUAAAUAAUAAUUUGGUAAAAAUUAUUAUUUUAACUAUAUAAUUUUAUUAUCGCGCAACGCGCGGGGAUUUGCCUAGUAUCUUAUAAAGCUAGUAUUUUUUCUUGAACCUCAUGCAUUUGAAACUCCCAAAACACCACAUUCAUUUGAAAUUCCCAUGACUUUUCAUAUUCUUUUUGAUAAUGAUUAUAAGUAUGUUAAGAAUGUUAAAUAAAUAUCAAACCUAAAGUGUAAUCAUAUAUAAACUCAAUAUUAAAAUAAUAUAUUUACUUUUAUUUAUAAAGUUAUGUCUUUAACUUUUAACAUAUUAUACUUUAUUUAUUAAUUUUAAAAUGUUGUUGUAUGUAAACCUUUAUCAUUUUGAAGCAACAACUUUUGAACUGUUUAGAUAAAAUACUUAAAUUGUUAAUUUAAAUAUAAUAUUACAUGGUCAAAAUAAAUAUAAAUUUUAGUUCAACUUAAACAACGUAAAGAAUCUUUUAUAAAUAAUUCAAAAUGACAAAUUGUAGUGUUUUUUCUAAUAAUGAUUAUAAGUUUGUUAAUAAAGUUAAAUAAAUAUCAAACCUAAAGUGUAAUCAUAAAUAAAAUAAAUUUUAUUUACUUCUAUUUAUAAGGUUACGUCUUUAAUUUUUAACAUUUUAUACUUAAUUUAUUAGAUUUAUAUUCAGUUUAAAGCUACAACUUCUGAACAGUUUGGAUAAAAUACUUAAAUUGUUAAUUUAAAUAUAACAUUACAUGGUCAACUUAAAUAUAAAUUUCAGUUUCACUUAAAAAACUCAAAUAAUAUUUUGUGAAUAGUUAAACGUGAUAAAUUAUAGUGUUAAAUGCAAAAACUAAAUUUUAAUAUCAAUUUAACCAAAAUAUUUCCUAAAGAUAUGUUUAUAAUCAUUUAAAUUUUCAAAUAAGUAGCUUAAAAUAAUUCACAAUAACAAUAGUUAAAAUUAACUUUAUAUAAACGAUUAUAUUGUUACCUUUAAAAACAAAAAGACAAUUUUUGAUGUUUUAAAUAAUUACAAUGAUAGAAAUUAAAACAUUAAACAAAUAAAUAUUAAAAAAUUAAUUAACAAUAACAAAUAACAUUAAACCAUAUAUUAUUUUUAUUUUCUUUAGUGAAUUACAUGUAGGUAGAGGUCAUUCAAACGAUUACGAUUAUAUAGUUAUAAUAGAUGUAUAUAUUAUAAUAUAAUUCAAAAUAAUCAAUAUAUUAUAUCAAUUUCAUAUACGAAUUAUUAUAUCAAAUUUAACAAUAACAUUAUUGUUAUAUUUAAGAAAACAUAUAUUUGUAAAGAUUUCAACUAUAUAAAUGAAGCAUUUUUCCUUUCAUCAUGUUCAUUUGAAACUCCCAUGCAUUUUUCCUUUCACCACAUUCAUUUGAAACUCCCAUGACUUUUCAAUUUAUUUCUAAUAAUAAUUAUAAUCUGGUUAAUUAGGUUAAAUAAAUAUCAAACCAAAAGUGUAAUCAUAUAAAAACUAAAUUUCAAUAUUAAAAUAAUAUAUUUACUUCUACUUAUAAAGUUAUGUUUUUUAACUUUUAACAUAUUAUACUUAACUUAUUAGUUUUAAUAUAUUGUUGGAUCUAAACCAUUAUCAUUUUAAAGAUACAAUUUUGGAACAAUUUGUACAAAAUACUUAAAUUAUUAAUUUAAAUAUUACAUUACAUGGUCAACUUAAAUAUAAAUUUUAGUUUAACUUAAACAACCCAAAAAAUAUUUUGUAAAUAGUUAAAAGUGAUAAAUUAUAGUGUCUUUCUAAUAAUGAUUAUAAGUUGGUUAACAUGGUUAAAUAAAUAUCAAACCUAAAGUGUAAUCAUAAAUAAACUAGAUUUCAAUUUUAAAAUAAUAUCUUUACUUCAACUUAUAAAGUUAUGCCCUUAAUUUUUAACAUAUUAUACUUGAUUUAUUAGAUUUAAUAUGUUGUUAUGUGUAAACUAUUAUCACCUUAAAGCUACAACUUUUGAAUAGUUUAGACAAAAUACUUAAAUUGUUAACUUAAAUAUAACAUUACAGUGUCAACUUAAAUAUAAAUUUCAGUUCCACUUAAAAAACCAAAGAAUAUUUUAUAAAUAAUUAAAAGUGACAAAUUGUAGUGAUAAAUGCAAAAACGAAACUAUAAUCUCCAUUUAAUUAAAUUAUUUCAUAAAGAUAUUUUUAUAAUCAUUAAAAGUUUUCAAAUAAGUAACUUAAAAUAACUUACAAUAAAAAUAGUUAAAAAUAACUCUAUAUAAAUGAUUAUAUUGUUACCUUUUAAAUCAAAAAGUAAUGUUUGAUGUUUUAAAUAAUUAUAAUGAUAGAAAUUAAAACAUUAAAAAAAAAAUUUAAAUUAAUUAACAAUAACAACAACUAUAAAUAACAUUAAACCAUAUAUUAUAUUUAAUUUUAUUCAUGUGUAACUCGCGGUUAUAAGUCAUUCAAACGAUUGAGAUUAUGAAGUUAUAAUAGAUGUAUAUUAUCAUAUAAUUCAAAAUAAUCAAUAUUAUAUUAAUUUAGUAUACGAAUUAUUAUAUCAAAUUCAACAACAACGUUAUUGUUAUAUUUUAAAACACAUAUAUUUGUAAAGACUUCAGCUAUAUAGGUAUUUAUGCGCAUUAAAAUGUCAACUUAAAUAUAAAUUUCAGUUCCACUUAAAAAACCAAAGAAUAUUUUGUAAAUAGUUAAAAGUGAUAAUUUGUAUUGAUAAAUGCAAAAACUAAAUUGUAAUCUCAAUUUAACUAAAAUAUUUCCUAAAGAUAUUUUUAUAAUCGUUAAAAGUUUCCAAAUAAGUAGCUUAAAAUAAUUUACAAUAACAAUAGUUAAAAAUAACUCUACAUAAAUGAUUAUAUUGUUAUCUUUAAGAUCAAAAAAUAAUGUUUGAUGUUUUAAAUAAUAAUGAUAGAUAUUCAAACAUUAAGCAAAUAAAUUUUAAAAAAUUAAUUAACAAUAACAACAACUAUAAAUACAAUUAAACCAUAUAUUAUAUUUAAUUUUAUUCAUGUGUAACUCGCGGAUAGAAGUCAUUCAAACGAUUGAGAUUAUGAAGUUAUAAUAGAUGUAUAUAUUAUAUAUAAUUCAAAAUAAUCAAUAUAUUAAAUCAAUUUACUAUACAAAUUAUUAUAUCAAUUUUAACAAAAUCGUUAUUGUUAUAUUUAAAAAAACAUAUAUUUCUAAAGACUUUAACUAUAUAUGUGUUUCUGCGCAAUGCACGGGUAUUCGCCUAGUAUCAUUAAAAAUUGCAUGUUAUGUCUUUAGUACACAUGAAAUCAUUAUAUCGCCUUUUAUAUUUUGUAUUUCAGUUUUUUAAUAUUUCUUUAUUAUUUAUAAAUAAAAAAAUUGAAUUAAUGUGAUUUAUAAUUUAAUGGGUCCGACAAUCUCUCAUACUCCCUUUCUACCUUCCCCUCCAUCCCCUUCUUCACCAUACUCCUUUUUCGGCUCCACCACCACCCACCUUUAAUUUUUCGGCACCACUCUCACCUCCGACGACGAUUAAAUCCUAACCAUCAAAGACUACUUCGUUCCCUUUUCCGAACAGGUUAGACACAUAAAUGCACACCACACCAAAUUUGAUCUCCAAUAAAAACCCAAAAUCCGCAACCAUCUGAAAAUUUAUAGUAGGGGCGAUCAUUAAUUUGGUAUCCUAAUAUUAUUCAUCCAAAGAAACAAAUGGGUGAUACCCUAGUCUAAAACUUGAUUUAAAGAUAGGGGGAGAGAGAGAGAGAGAGAGGCGAUUUCAAAAAACCGAUUUUUAGGUUGCAAGGAUGGAUCAUUACAUAAACAUAUAUUGAUCUCAUAAAAUCGAUCCACCACCACCAAACCGAUGAUAGAUUCUCCAGAGGUUGUGGGUUGUAGGUUCGAUUCUUCCUGCAAAAUAGUCGGAGAUGUUUGAGCGAUGGUGCAUAUCUAUAGCGACUUUUAGUGGUGAUAUCGAAGACAAUGGUGGGUAACCCUUUUAAUGGCGGUGACGGUGAUGGUGACAAUGAUUGUCGUUGUUCUUAUUCCAUUAUUUAUAAAUUUGGAUUUUUAGAAGAGGUGGGGGAUGGUCUCCGAAUGAAGAUGAUGUAGUGAGGUAAUGGUUGCUGGAGGAAGAUGAUGUAAGAGGUAAUGGUCGUCAGAGGAAGAUGAUGUUGAUGGUUCUUCAAGUUUAGAGAUAAGACAAGGAAGUGGGAGGUGCAAAGAGAAAGAUACCAUGUGUUCUUAGAUUUAGAGCAUCUCCAACCCACUCCCAUUUCCAUUUCCCCCCCNNNNNNNNNNNNNNNNNNNNNNNNNNNNNNNNNNNNNNNNNNNNNNNNNNNNNNNNNNNNNNNNNNNNNNNNNNNNNNNNNNNNNNNNNNNNNNNNNNNNNNNNNNNNNNNNNNNNNNNNNNNNNNNNNNNNNNNNNNNNNNNNNNNNNNNNNNNNNNNNNNNNNNNNNNNNNNNNNNNNNNNNNNNNNNNNNNNNNNNNNNNNNNNNNNNNNNNNNNNNNNNNNNNNNNNNNNNNNNNNNNNNNNNNNNNNNNNNNNNNNNNNNNNNNNNNNNNNNNNNNNNNNNNNNNNNNNNNNNNNNNNNNNNNNNNNNNNNNNNNNNNNNNNNNNNNNNNNNNNNNNNNNNNNNNNNNNNNNNNNNNNNNNNNNNNNNNNNNNNNNNNNNNNNNNNNNNNNNNNNNNNNNNNNNNNNNNNNNNNNNNNNNNNNNNNNNNNNNNNNNNNNNNNNNNNNNNNNNNNNNNNNNNNNNNNNNNNNNNNNNNNNNNNNNNNNNNNNNNNNNNNNNNNNNNNNNNNNNNNNNNNNNNNNNNNNNNNNNNNNNNNNNNNNNNNNNNNNNNNNNNNNNNNNNNNNNNNNNNNNNNNNNNNNNNNNNNNNNNNNNNNNNNNNGUAGCGGGUGAGGGGGUGGUGGGAGUGGGGCCCAUUUCCUUCUAAAGCAAUAAAUAACAAUAAAUAAUAUUAUAUUAAUAGAAAAUAAAUUCAUAAGGUAUUAUGGUCAUUUAAAUAACAAACACAACAUAAACUGCACAAAUACAUUUUUCAAAGACGAAACUUACAAAUCUAAACUAAAUUGAAUUGUUCUACAAAUUAAGGAAAUUCUUUUUAGUUUGAAUCAACCCCAAGGUAGUAGCACAAAAGAUUUGACUUCAUGUUCUGAAAAGGUUUUAAAAUAUAUACUUUUGAUAUUUGUGUCUACUUGAAAGAUGUUAAAGGUUUAACCAUACAUUUACUCUUUUAUGUCAAUGAUAUGUUAAUUGUGCAGUUGAUAAGAUGGCAAUUCAAAAGUUAAAAGGAUAGUUGUAUAGUGAAUAUGAGAUGAAAGAUGUGCAAAAAAAUUGGCUUGGAGAAUUCUAGAAAGACACUAUUUGGAAAACUACACCCAAGUCUUGGUGGGUAUACUGAGAAGGCAAUUUUUCGUUUUAACACGCAUGAUAUCGAACAGGUGAGUACCCAUUACCUGCACACUUUAAAUUAUCAUCAACUUUAUGCCUACAUAUAAAUAAAUAAUGAUAAUGAUUACAUCUUUAAAGUCCCAUUGUCACACCCCCGAACCAGACGGCGGAAACGUCCGGGGGCUGUCGUGACUCAAUUGAAUACCAUAACAUUGAAUAUAUAUGAAACAUAACAACAUUCGUCACCGUGCAUUAAUAUAGUACAACCAAUAGCGUUUACAUGAAAUACAUUGUUUAAACAUUACAUUCCCAAAAAUUAAAUUGUUCGGUUCGUACAUAAUUAAACUGCAAGCCGUCACUGAAUAUGAUUUCCUUUGAUUCAAUGGUUCUCUGAAAAUACAAGUAUUUUGAAAAACGUCAACAUAUGAAAUGUUGGUGAGUUCAUAAGCGGUAUUUGAAGCAAACAAUGUUCAUAUCGUUUGAAAACCACCAGAAAAUCCGAUAUUUUCUGAAAUGAAAAACUUUCGAAAAUGUUUGUGAAGAUCCAUAGGUAUGCUUGUUUGUUUCUAUACUUGUAAAAAUUGUUCAUUAAUAUUAUAUGCGUUUCGAAUCCGAUAUGUUUUGAAAAACCUAGGAAAACCCGAUGUUUUCCUAAUCCUUUGAAAUCCAUUAAGUUGCGUUGAAACCAUUACAAAAAUAGAAGUCUCAUUCCCAGGCGACGUUGGAUUAUUUUUUAGCAUGAUUAUUUACUACAAACCCGCAUUACACAAACGCCCAGUUUAUAGCAAUACUAACGAUCCCGAAGGCGUCGUCCGUACAAAUCACGUUAUCCAGCCGCCCUGACUAUGUGUCGUCCCACAUCCGAAGAGUAAGAGGACACGAAGGCCUCGAUGACUCUAUUAAUCGGUUGGGGAUAAUAUGCGUACGAGGGGUCCCCGACCCGCCUCGCAAAAAAUGUAGACUUUACUAGCUAUACCAAAGGACCCUUGGGGACCAGUAGUAUACAAGCCAUUGAAAGUCCAUUUACGUUGUGUCGGAUCGGUAAAACCCAACACUCCGUAAAAAAAAUGUCUUCGGGCCUUAAGAUCAGGUCAUUGGGCUAGCUAGGCUCAACGAACAAGAUUUUACACUUUUGGGGCCCAAAGAUGGUGCGUAGACGUCUGUGCACACUCGCAUGUAUAAUGUAUUACCAAACGUUACUUGUAUGAAUCGUAGUAUCGUAGUGUCGUAGUGUUAGUAGUUGUAGAUUUCUAUUGGUUCGAGACCGAGCCAAUUCGUUUAACAACGACUUUUGGUAUUGUAAUGUAUUGUAUUUCGUCGAUAGCCGCGGUGCCAUUAUUUGAUCAAAUUGUGUAUAUUGAAUUAGCCUUGAAAUUUUUCUGUUUUCAGCCCCUCAUUGUUUGUAAAAUUUACAUUUUCAACCCUUUUAUUAAAUACUUCCCGGUUUGGUCCUUAAAUUAAUUUUCUUGACAUUUUAACACCAAAAAUUAUUGAAAUUAAUAUUUUUCAGCAUAUUUUUCAUAGAAAACAGUUUAAGUCCCUGAAAAUGCAGUUUUCUCGGUUUUAACCCUUCUUUUUCGCAACUUUGACAAUUUUGGCCCAAAUUGGAAAAUUUUUGCAACUUUGGUCCUUUUUAAAUUUAAAAAGCAUUUUAAACCUUUGAAAAGGACUUGGAUCACUUAUGGUCCACUGUUUUACAGAAAAUCACAGUUUUGGCCCUCCAAAACAGAAAAAUUCGCAUAAUGGGCCUCAUUGGGCCAAAAAUGUCAUUUUUAGCCCAUUAAGCUUGGAAUUUAUGUUUUUAAUCCCCUAAAUGAGUAUAUUUCCAGAAAUUGAUUUAUGGAAACUGUUUUGGCACACUUCAUCCAUCAGAAUUCGUGAUAUGCCAAUUUGGACCCUUAAUUUUGUAUUUUUCACAUUUUAGGCCCAAAAUUUGUGUUUUUAACCCAAAGAAAAUUGUUACUAAACCACUUAACCAUUUUUCUUGAAACACUUUGUAUUUAGAAAUAUAUUUGAAGCUAAAAUCAUUUAACACAAGAUAUAUCUCGGUUUUGAGGGGUUUUAUGGCUAGAUCCAACAUUAUAACACACAAAUGCAUACAUAUAAGCAUGGAAAUCAUACAAGGCAUACAAAACACAUAUAGAUCUACACUUUCACUUGUAUUCCCCCCCCCCCACAAAACUCAUAAAAACAGAAAAUAGGGGGUAUGAAGCUCACCUUGGGUGUGGUUUCGGUUUUUGGAAGAAAAGAUGGAAGAAAACUUGAUGAUUUUUGGCCUUAGCACCUUUCCUUGGUAGAUCUCGAGUUUGAGAUGGUUCUAGGGUGCAAGAUCACGAUUUUUGCAUAGAUUAGGAAAGGAUUUUGAUAACAAAAAGAAUCUAAACCAUAGAUCCAAGCAUAAUCUUACCUUAGAUGAUGAUUAACUUGCAAGAUCCUCUUGAAAGCCCCUAAUUUUCGAGAUUUUUGGAGAGGGGAGGAAGGAGAGUUCUUGAGUAAUCUAGAGAGAAUUUGAGAGAUUUUUGUGUGGGUGUAUGGCUGAGAGUGAGAGAGAUAGGAAGAAGAGAUGUGAUCUUGAAGUGAUAUGCAUGGAAGAAUGAGAAAUAAUGCAUGGAAGUCCUAUGGGUAAUAGUGAGGUGGCAUCCAAAGUCAACACUUCCAUUUCUCUUUGGGUUUGGGCCUUGGGCCGAGAAUGGGAAGAGAAAAAAAGGAUUUUUGGGCUUUUUGCCCUUAAGCCCAAUAUUUGAGGUAGUUUGGGUGUUCAUUGGCCUUAUAAAAUAAAAUUGUGAUUUUUAUGCUUUAUUAAGCUAGGUUAGGUUAAAUUAUGGAUCAAAGCUUGUGAUUUAUUUCAUUCUAGGCCCAAUAUGGCCCAAAAUAUUGAGAUAAAUAAGUGUGGGUCCAAUUAGAGCCCAAUUAGGGUUCUAAGCCCAUGAUAGUCUAUUUGGAAGCUUAUUGGUCCAUUUGGAUCCAAUAAGGAAGUUCUAGUCCAAGGUGUACCUAAACAAGAACUUUUAGGGUUUCCAAUUGUUUGAUGACUAUUUGUAGUACUUGUAUGAUGUAUUUGAUUGAAGUUUUUGAUUCACAUUAACUUGAAUGUAUAGAUUACAUGACACAAAAUUUCCAGUUGUGACACCCAUAUUCUAAUUCAAAUGGUUGACUUAAGCAUGCCAUGGUUUGCUUACGUCAUCAUGCAUUAAGUGUUGUUAGUCAAUUCAUGACAAACCUUUGUAAAAAGCACUAGAAGGUAGUUCAAUGGAUUUUCAAAUUCCUUUGUGGUAUAUUGAAUGUUUGCCUAGAUUUUGGAAAAUCAAAAAACAGGUUGGUUGAAUUUAUGGAUUCAGAUUAUGUUGGUGAUUUAGACAAAAGAUUAUGGAAUACAAAGAAACUACUCAGUUGACUAGAGUUGACUUCAUGGAUAAGGUGACAUAAUGUUUGGAAGGCUCUGAAAACGGCUUGCUUGGGGAGCAAGUCGUCGCCCUAGGGUUUCUAGGGGUCGGUCUAUAGGGGCUCUUUUCAUGCCUUCUAGGGUUUCGAUACCUAUAAAUAAUGCUCCCUAGGAGUUGUAUUGACUACUCAUGAAAAUUAAAAGCCUCUAUCCCGCUCUCUGCAUUUUUUCCUGGUUUCCAAGUAUUCGCUUUGUGUUUAUCAAAUUCCAGUGUUGUUGGAAGAUCGAUAGAUCUGCAUUAAAUCCUGGGGUUUUACUAUGUUGCUUACAACCAGAAGAAGCGAAGUACAAACCUUUAAGGACAAGAGUUCGAUUCGUGCAAUUGUUUCAAGUUCAAGAUCAGCCAUUGACAGGUCGGUUUUAUUUUUCUGUCUUGUGUUGCGAAAUAAGGCUAAACCUAACCUUCUUAAAUUAUUUAGUCCUUGCAAUAUGUAACUUAACAUAUUCGUUUACUAGUUAGUAACAUAUAACUAGAACUCCUAAAAGCACAAAGCAAGCAACAUUCGAGCAUUGAGUACACAUAAUUAAGCAUAUACUUCUCAGGCUAUCCUUGACUAAUUUGUACUAGCAUGCAGUUCUCAUAAGUUGAUACACAUAUAACUGGAACAUAAGGCAUCCUUCCUAUAUCCUUAGUCCUAAUCUAGCAUGCAGUUCUCAAGUUGAUAAUCAUAUCAUAACAUAAACUUGUAUGGGUAAUUUGGGAGUACUUACUUGAUCUCGGCUGAUUGCAUGCACCACACCCUUUUCUCUUUUCAAAGUUCUUUUUCCUUUCUCAAAAUUAUUUUCUCUUUUCUAAAUUCUUUUUAUAAAAAUGAUUUCAUUUUGAAAAUUUUCAUACCAAGUCCUUAGUUUGAGUUCAGACACACCCGAGAGUGUGCCCGAAUCCCUCAAACCAAGGCUCUGAUACCAACUUGAAACGUCCCAAAAAUACAGUCCAAAAUUUUCGUUUUUAAAUCAUUAUUAAAACCAUAAAUAUCAUCACCAUAGUAUAAAAUCAUAAACCAUGUAUCUCAAAAUGUCAUAAUAUUUGUCAACAUAUCAAAAUCUCAUAUCAAAUAUCAGAGUAAAUUUACCAGGCUAGAAAACUGUGGUGUGUGCCAUGCGAUCAUCCCGAGCCCUUCCCUUUGCUAGCUGAAGUACCUAAAACCAAACUGAAAACUGUAAGCACAAAGCUUAGUGAGCUCCCCCAAACUACCAUAUACCAUACACAUAUAUCAUAUUACAAAUAACACAACUAUGAGACAUCGCCCAGCUAAAUCGGGACGAACCCGACAUCGGACUCCUGUCCGGCAUCGGGCUCACCCCAACAUUAGACCACGUCUGCCAUCGGGCUCACCCCGGCAUCGGGCCUACCCUGACACAUACACAACAUAUCAUAUAUCAUAAACACAUAACAUAAGCAUAUAACAUACAUCAGGCUUACCCCGACAUCUGACCAAAGCCCGUAACGCAUAACAUAUAUCAUAUAAACUAACAUGCAUCAGGCUUGCCCUGACAUCGGGAUCACCUCGGAACACAUAACACAUAAUAGAUACACUAACAUACAUCAGGCUUGCCCCGGAACAUAUAACACAUAACAUGCAUGAAUCACAAAGACAUCAAGCAUACAUAUACUCUUCUCGGGACCACCCCGGCAUCAGACCAUAGUCCGAAACUACUAACAUCUAAACGGGUCGACAUUGUGGCCUUAGACAUGUUCCUACUGGAAGAGGAAUCACCUCUCAAACUGGAUGCUGAACUCGUGCGUGAGGAAUCUAUGCUGGCUACUCCCACGACUCCCCGACUAGCUCUAUACAAUAUUACUUAGUCAAAAAACUAAACAUCCAUCUAAGGGUAAAAUGACCAUUUUACCCCGGUCAAAGUCCAUACUCUGGUCAAAGUCAACAUUCUGGGUUGACCAACUCGCCGAGUUCUAUAACUCAAAAAUUCUGGAAUCGCGACUCAACUCGCCGAGUCGCUCCACCGACUCGUCGAGUCCUAUCGAGCUGCUUAAUCACGACUUGGCUAAUCCACUCGUCGAGUCCCUCUACAGACUCAUCGAGUUCUACUAUAAACUGGAAUCGGGACAACACGACGAGUCCUUCUGUCUGAUUAGCCAUCUUAACAAAUUAAGCCCUUGUUCUCUAGAUCUAUAGUCCAUACUUCACUUGUUCACCGGGAAUGACCUUUCUAAGGGUAAAGUUUCCAACUUUACCCGUUGAUAACUCAAUUUGGAGGGUUUAGCUAAAACCCUAAUUCCUUUAGGACAUGGAUCUUGUCCAAAAAGCCUUAGAAUCUCAAAUCCAUGCAUGCAAACCUAUAUCUAGGGCCUAGCUAUCAGUUAACCACAAAAAGUCUCAAGCUUGCUUCCAUGCAUGGCCUUUUUGAGCUCAAAAGGCCAUAAAUACGUCUUUAGCACUUGCAUGGGGGAUCUAAGGACAUAAAGUUUGCACCUUUAUGUCUUCACAUCCCCUCCGGGCACUAGAUCUGGAAGAGUAACUCUUGGGUCGAUCCUUACCCACAAGUUAGGAAAUCUUGGACCAAAACCCACAUAAAGAGGUCAUAAAUAGAUCUAAGAAGAAAAUGAUCAAGUUUAAAGCUUUAUUACCAGAAAAUGAAUCUAAAGGGAUUAAACUUCUGGAUCUACUGUUUCUCUCUUGAGUUUUCUAACUUUUUCUUCUUCCACAAGCUUCAAAAGGCACAAAUAACACUCAAAAUGGCAAGAAAUAACUCAAGAUCACUCUAGGUGAAUUAGGGCUUCGAGAUUAGGGUUUUGAGGUGAUAGAGGCUGGGAUGGAGGCCAGAUAUGAUGCUUAAAUAGGGUGCAAACCCUAAAGAUUAGGGUUUUAUCCAGCCUGUCCUACUCGUCGAGUCAGGUUGUGACCCGCAGAGUAGCUCACUUAAAACCCAUGCAUAUACUGCCUUAUACUCGACGAGUUAAGGCCACCAACUUGUCAAGUGGCCCUUCCAAAAUGAAUAAUUAAAUGAAUUAAGUGCAUACCAUGAAUUAAGUGUUACAUUUACACAAAUUCUUGAGUUUCUACACUCAAUCGCCAUAAAAAGGAAAUAGAAUUAGAGUUAUCGAUGCAUUAAAUUGAAAAGGGAUUUGGAGAAAUCAACAAAAGAAGUUACUAGAGAUAAUGAAGAGGGAUUUCUUGCAAGAGUCUAGAAUAUCCCAUAGACCUUUAACUUCAGUUUAUUCUCUGGUACAUGUGACGAAGAUGAGGCUGCUCUUUAACAGAAGAAUCUAGAAUUAGGGCAUGUACAUGUGAAAUACUAAAUAAAAUCAUAUCUGAUGCCAGAUAGAGGAUUGAAGAAGAGAAAGGAGGGUUGAUGCUAAGCAUAUCAAUUCAAAAACUAGUGUUAAGAGCUAUAAGAUUACCUUUAUCAAAUAAACUAAGGCCCCGAUUGAUAGUUGCUGAAUGGGAAAUGUCUGUCUGAGUAAUAAAUUAUGACUGAGUAAGAAACCAUUCUGUUUGAUUGUACAUCUGACUGAAUGUGCUGACUGAUGCAAAAUGACCAUUUUACCCUGAUGCUCUAGUGAUGGAUAAUAAUAAUAAUAAUAAUAAUAAUAAUAAUAAUUGAUUAUAAAAGUUCAGGGACCAACUAGUAAUUUCCAGAAAUUAAUUAUGCAAGACAAUUUGAAGUUAUGGUAGAUUCGGCCAAGAUGGAUAUCUUCAAGGACCAAAACUGCCUAAUUCUAAUUUUGAGUUGUGCGUGUGUGUUCUGGUUUCUUUUUCCCUUUUCAGGGAUUAAAUUGAUGGUUGAGGAAGGAGGAUGAGGGUGGGGCAGGGCAAUGGUGGAAUGAAUUUCAAUCAGAUUUAGUCAAUAAUUUUUUUGGGUACGAGCAAGUCAGACAUUGUUAACCCGGUCAGAUGCAAAGCUAAAACAUAUCAAACACAUAAAGCUGAUCGAAUCAGACAUUUUUAUUUGACGUGACCCGGUCAGAUCCAAAUCAAACAAGACCUAAAUAAAGAAUUGACUACUAAAUUUGGAAUGGAUUAACUGCAAAUGGAUGAGAAAAUGGCAUGUUGUGAACUCUUAGUUUAUAAAUAUGACUCUUGACAUAAAAAGUAAUCUAUAUUAGUAUUUGAUAUUUUUUUUGUUGUAUUUAUAAUAAAAUACCGUGCACAUACAUAUUUAAUUGGAGUUAAAUAAUUGUUGCAAUUCUUUUGUUGUAUUUUAUGAAAUUAAAACUUAAAAAACAAUUUUUUUUUAUCCAAACUGAUUUAGCAAAAAACCGAUUACAGACUGAUUACAAACCUGCCAGAUAAAAAACCCGGUUCUUAAAAACCUGUUUGCCUUCGUUGGAAACAGAGGACCGAAUCGAUGAUUAAAAAUCGAAUAUUCGAAUGUGGGCAUCAGCAAUCAAAUACGAAUAUACGAUAACAAACAGACUGAAGUAUUGAAGUGGUGAUGUAAUUGGGCUGGGCCUCGUAAUAUUUUGUAAUGAUCCGUUGUUAAUAGUGGAAGGCUUACUCUGUCUUUUAAUAUGCUCGGCACCUCUAUACCAAAACCCUAGAUUUGUAUUUGUCACUGCUUUGGGAGUAAACGCUCGUACCAGGUAUCCUUUUUUCUGCUCAAUUGUGAACCAUGUAUACUUAUGUCUCAUUCGCCUUACUCUUCUUUACACCCUGAUAUACUGUUGAAUUUUCGUUGUUACUGUAGAUCGAUAUCAGAAGGCGAUCGUUUGUUCCUCAAGCAAUGGCGCUGGUGAGUUUUUUGUUCGUUUUUUGUGUUAAUUUUGAUUAGUUGACGCUUUUUUGUACGGAGUUCGUGACGGAUCUCACUUGUUUUGUAUAUAAUUUGUACGGAUGAGGCUUAUGAUUGCAUUUUUUCGUGGAUCGCUUUGUUUCGUUUACUCAUUUCGACUUUUAUCGUUUUGUUUGUGAGGUGAAAAACUCACUGGAACUUUAUUGUAUUCUUCAUCCACUUGAGUUUUCGAUGUUCAUUUUGUUUUGUGUAAUCAAUCGAUCAUGCUUGGUCUGUGUACAAAUUUUGCUAAUCGAUGUGGUUGAUUUUGUAUCAUAAUCAUCUGGAAAUGCUAGAUAUUAAUCAUGAGACCAAAUUUAAAAGUCACUGACAUCCAAUUAUCUGAUAGGGGAUAAGGAUUCAGAGGCUAGAUAUUAAUCAUGUAUUUGAGACCAAAUUUAUAAGGCAUUGACAUCCAAUUAACCUGAUAGUGGUAUAAGGAUUCAGCGGUUUAGUAGGCCUUGGAAAUGUUAUUCAUGCUUUUUGCUCUAUAUGGAAUAUUAUUCUUAAUUUUAUUUAGUUUUGAAUAUUAUAUUCUCUCAUGUAACCUUUUCAACAUCUUGAAGUUCAUAUGUAUUUGAUGCAACAAUAUCAACCGUUGGAACUUUAUAAAAAUUGACGUUUUAAUGUCUGAUUUGUGAUCAUUUGGUAUUUACAUUCUUGUGUCAGUUAAUUGCUUUUCAUAUGAUGUAUUCUUCUUGUUGCAGAUUAUGCACGCGGGGGCAAACAACAAGAAUGUUUACAAGUCAUUAAUUGCUGCAGAAUAUGUUGGUGUUGAGAUCAAAAUGGAUGAAAACUUUCAGAUGGGUGUGUCAAACAAGACUCCUGAAUUUCUUAAAAUGAACCCUAUUGGAAAGGUAUUGUUCUUUUAAUUUAUAAUCCAAUUAAAUCUUUCUACAAAAAGGAAAAUUUUAUUUAAUGUUUUAUACUGUAUUCUUCAUCAUUAAUGCAGGUCCCUGUUCUUGAGACUCCUGAGGGCGGAAUAUUUGAGAGUAAUGCUAUUGCUCGCUAUGGUGAGGCACCAAAUAGCCAUUGUUUCUAAUUUUCUUUUGGUUUUAAAGUAAUGAGCUUACUUUGUUAUGUUUUAUGCUGCAGUUGCUCAUUUGAAACCUGGAAAUUCUCUUUUUGGUUCUACACCGAUAGAAUAUGUAACUUUUUUGUUAUCUUUUAUGAUUAUUAAAGAAUAGCUAUACUUAUAACUUAUAUGAAAGCUUAUCUAUCUUAGGAAAAUAUUUUAUACAGGGCCAAAUUGAGCAGUGGAUUGACUUUGCAACCUUGGAGCUUGAUGCAAGUAUGAGGGGUUGGGCGAUACCAAGAUUUGGAUAUGCCAAUUACAUUAAACCUGUUAGUCACUUUUGCUCUUUUCAUAAUUUUAUUAUGAAUUUUUGAUGUGUCUUUUCCAUGGGAUAUUGUGAAAUGCUCUAAAUGACAAUCUUGUGUGCAUGUUUUGAAGGUUGAGGAGAGUUAUAUUGCUGCUACCAAGAGAGGUCUUGGUGCUCUAAACACAUAUCUUGCUUCACAUACUUACUUGGUUGGUGAUGGUGUUACUUUGGCUGACAUCAUCUUGACAUGCAACCUUGUGAUGGGUUUUAAAUUUUUGUUGACAAAAAGUUUCACAUCUGAGUUUCCUCAUGUUGAGAGGUAUUUCUGGACCCUGGUUAAUCAACCAAAAUUCAGUAAAAUAAUCGGAGAAGUUGUGCAAACCGAAGCUGUUAUUCCUCUUCCUUCAGCCAAGAAACCAGAGGAAAAACCAAAACCCGAGCCUAAAAAGGAAGUCAAGAAAGAAGAAGCCCCUAAACCCAAGCCUGAAGCUGCCCCAGAGGAGGAAGAGGCACCCAAGCCUAAGGCAAAGAAUCCUCUUGAUUUAUUGCCUCCAAGUCCAAUGGUUUUGGAUGACUGGAAAAGGCUUUACUCUAACACCAAAACUAACUUCCGUGAAGUUGCAAUCAAAGGUAUUUUCUUUUUUGACUUUUUUUUAAAAAAAAAUAUAUAUCCUCUUCUCAGACAACAGUUGACUGAUAUAUUUAUUGAUUUUGUUGCAGGUUUUUGGGACAUGUAUGAUCCAGAGGGAUACUCUCUUUGGUUUUGUAACUACAAAUACAAUGAUGAGAACACUGUCUCAUUUGUGACAAUGAACAAGGUUGGUGGAUUCCUUCAGCGAAUGGAUCUUGCAAGGAAAUAUGCUUUUGGAAAGAUGUUGAUUAUUGGAAACGAGCCUCCAUUCAAGGUCAAGGGUUUGUGGCUUUUCCGGGGGACUGAAAUCCCAAAAUUUGUGAUGGAUGAGUGUUAUGACAUGGAGCUUUACGAGUGGACCAAGGUUGACCUUUCUGACGAGGCACAAAAGGAGCGAGUGAAUCAGAUGAUUGAAGAUUUUGAGCCUUUUGAAGGUGAAGCUCUUUUGGAUGCCAAGUGCUUCAAGUGAGUGGAAAUGCUGGGACCCUCGAACCAUCAAUUAUUGUUGGUGAUUGGGUAGAUUUUUCUACAAAAUGUGUUUUUAGAUAUAUGUCAAACUUUGUUUUGUUUUGUGAUGUUUACUAGCAUAUUAUAAACUAAACCAGUUUUGUUUAUUGGG